CUUUUUUUUUUUUUUUUUUUUUUUUUUUACAAAACGUCGUGUAUUUGAUGUGAAAACUGUAUCAGUACCGAGUCACCUAUAAAAACUCUUUGAAACAAUUUAUAGUUUUGGAAAUAUAUUCUGAUUCGUAAUGAUAAUCGAAACAAAACCAACAUAAACCCUUUUUUUUUUAAGGUGCUACAUGAUUCUUUAACAGGUACUUGCUUGUAGAUGGUAAGAAUUAGUUCUCAUUAAAUUAAAAGUGGUAAAAUAGAAGUCAAAUACUUGUUGGUUGUGAAAAAGUGAAGCUUGUUUGAUUUUAUCUUUUCUUACCUGUAGAAUUGAACAAACGGGCUCCAUUGAACAAAUGGUCUUUAGAGAGUCCUAGGGUGAGUGCAAGCAAGCAACCACACAAGACCCCGUCUUUCCUAACCAUUUGAUUUGGGCAAGUUGGAAAAGUUUUCUUGUCUACUCUUCUAAUAGCUCAAGGUGUAAUUUCAUACCAUCAAAGCUAAUUAAUAAAAGUUCAUAAUUUAGAGGGAAAAAGGAAAAAAUGUUUGCAAUAUAUCUAGAUAUACAUACAAGCAUCAAGCUAUUUUCUUCUUGAUGCUUGGGUGAUAAAUGACGAUCACUAAUCACAACCAACCAAAUAACGAAAAAGCAAAUAAAAAAAAGUCUACAUAUAUAGUUUAUUCUAUCAAAGCAAAAGGAAAUAACAAAUGAUCAACUGUAUGAGGGCAUAAGUGCUUUUUUAGCACGGCAUGAGCAAAAUUCUUCUUUUUCGUGAAACUCGUGCUUAAUUUAAAGAUGAUUUGACAAAAAUAAAAAAAAAAAAAAAAUCAGGGGACAAGUCAAAAAUGGCUACUUGUCAUUGCUACCAAAAAGUCCACGGAGUUUCCAGCUACCGUCCAAGACGGCCACAAUCUAUGCAUUAGUGAAUUUUCCUUAGUCAUGAAAAAAAUCCAGGGAUGGUUAUGGUUAUGGUUAUGGUUAUGCAUGCAUGCCUCGAUUAUUGUAAGCAAUUUUCUUGACCUCAUUAUCAAGGAUCUUUCCGCGUACAACUUUCGGAGAUCGAUUUCGUGGCAAGAACUAACCAAUCAUCAUGUUCGUUUUACUCAGGGACGGAGCCAGAAAAAAUUCUUAGUGGGGGUAAAAGCAACACUAAAAUUUUUUACUUACUCUUUUUCUAGUUUUUCAAGAAAAAAAAAAAUCACCAACAAGUACAAAUAAUACAAAUACUCCAUGAAAAACAUAAAAAGACAAAUUCAAAAUUAUUAAUGUAAUAAUAAUUUUAUUUCAAAAACAAACUAACUAUUUACAAUUGCUCACUGCAAGUUUUUAUAUUUUGAUAACUUGACGUUCAUCUUGCUCAAUUAAAUUUGGAAAAGACAAACCUGCAGUCAUUUCUCAACAGUACGUCAAUCGGAACACCGAUUAAAAUUCUUAACAACUGGCCAAGGUUCAUCUUUUUUGGGGAAAUCAAACCAGUCGGUCGAUUUGCACAAUGAUCUGGACAACUUAAGUAAAUAAAUGAAUAGCCGGUGAAUGAUGUCGACCGACUCCUUGAAAUCUGCAGGUGUUUGAAACCCCAGAUGAGAUAAGUCGGUCGAUCUCCAGAAAGUUCAGAUCCUUUCAGGAAAAAACGUAGUACUCCUCCGUCCCACUUUGAUAGUUCUGUUUAUUUUUUCACACAGUUUAAGAAAAAAUAGUUAACUUUGUUGGAACAAUCAAUUUAGGUAGCUAUUUUCCUAAAAUACCCUCACAUUAAUUAGAGUAUAAUUUUAUGGGAACUUGAAUUGAUGGUAAAAAAAGAAUCAACUCUCAUUAAAUGGGGUAUGUUUAUAGUAACAACAACUUACAUUGAAUAAGGGUAUUUUAGAAAAAUUAAAAUACAACUACAUUCUUCAAUUGGAAACUGGACUACAAUUUGGGACAGACGAAAAAGGAAAACAAGACUAUCAAAGUGGGACGGAGGGAGUACUAGUUAAUGAAUCAGCUCAAUUGGUUGAAAGUUGAAAUUCUUUGUCUGGGGGAAAUGGAUUGAACAACUGACAGUUGGAAACCACAUUUAAGUCAAGAUUAACUAAUUAAUACCAGAAUUUGUAGCAAUGCAGCAUCAACAACCUUAUCCUUUUGAUUUUUUUUUUAAUUGACUCGGUUUAAAUGCAAGAAAAAAGAUGGUAAAAUCGUUGAUUUGAAGAACUUAAUUUGCCACAUUUUUUUUUUUUUACCUUCCAUUUUCGUAUUCAAAAUAAGACCUGAUUGAUUUAAUUCAAAACUAAUUAACACAAUCUUUCACCCUUUUUUUUCCAUUUUUUUUUAACAAUAAUUGCAAUAUAUUAAUUAAGACCUGCAGGUCUAAACAAUAUAUCUUUUUGUCAUUUACAUAACUGACAAAAAGGGGGAAAAAAAAAGAGAGGAGGAGAGACCAAUGUCAACCUCAUCAUUUCUCAGCAUCUGAAAAUGUCAUUGCCAAAUAAAUUAUAGCAAAUUAACAAUAUACCUCUCUCAAGUCUUAAUCUGCUCUGAACCAAUAGAUUCUUAUAUCGGCUACUAGAUCGAAGCUGUCACAAGGUCAAAGUUUGAAGAUUAUGAUGGAGGAAACAAAAUACCAAAACUUCAAUUAUUCAAUGAAUAAUUCCCACCACCAAUAUUUCAUUCUUUAUCUGGUGACAAUAAUUAAUCAUAUCCUCAUAAACUUAAUUAGAUUUCUAACAGUUACAUUCUGUCCAACCUUCAUUACUUAAUACCCAAUUUUCAUUUAAUUUUCUGGAAUGAAAAAAAAAAUUGUAAAGUGUAACGAAUCAUACGUGAGUAAAUGUAGCCUUGUGGACGAAUAGCACAGCUCAUGUUAUCCUCUCCUUGUCUGAAAAAGACUGAUUAAGACUAGAUUUUUUUUUUUAAAAAAAAAAAAUUGCAUCCUUGCUUACUUAAUACAAAUUUGAUGUUUUUCUUUUUGUCAAAAUUGACACCUUGUUUCGACAAUACUAAACGUUGCUCCGUUUUUUAUUCUUCAACUAAAAAUUUCAAUGAUAAUUUAAAAGAAAAAAAAAAAAAAAAGAGCAGCGAAGACAAAGUGAGUACAGUGCAGAACAGCAAAGAUGGUCUGCGUUAAGGAAUCGAGAUGGAAAUAAAUAAAAAGAAAAUGGAGUGCCCACAAACCGGAAUUGUCUCCUCCUUCCACGUCUGGAGUGUGUUGAAUGUGUCUACUCUCUGUCGUUGAUAAUAAAAACCAGCAAUUAGGUUUGGCAAAUUAAUUAAGUUCUUUCAGUCAAAAAGAAAAAUGAAUGUUUUUCUGUGCAUUGUUCUAAACUUUAAGUGCUACAUAGCUACGUGUUUCUAGUCAUCUCUUCUCCUUCCUCGCUUCUUAAAACUCAACUUUUAUAUAUGCUUUUAUGUUUUAGGAAAAUAUUUAUUUUGAUCUGAUCCCGUAAGCCAUAUGAAACAUAUGAAACUACGUUUUACUUCUGAGCAGGACUUGGAAUAUCAUGGGCAAUCAAUCAAGUUUCAGAAGGAAAGGAAGAAUGAACAAUCUUAUUAUUUACACAUUAGCAAAUUAGAAAAGAGAAUUGUUACCUUCAAUCUUACAAUUUAUCCCACCAAAAAGGUAUUAAGUAGAGAAAGUUUGUAAUAAAACUUGAAGACAAAUUAAUGAAAGACAUAAGGUAUAAGAGCAGUUAAGCAUGUUGGAUACUUCUAAAGAAUCAAGUAAAGGGAGAUCAAUUAUUGUUUAUAAUGUGGGUAAAAGUAGAAGAAAAGAAAGUUCCUUUAGAAACCCUUUACCCCACCUUAAAAGACCUAAUAUAUCCUACCUGUUUUCUCUUGUUCUUUAUAGCUACUAUUUUGUUUUUCCAUUUCUUUUUCUGCUCUUUCUGAGUAUGACUUAUUUCUCUGUUGAUCCCUGCAAAAUGAACGCAUUCGGUUCCUUCAACAGAAAGAUAUCCAAACAUGUUUCUAACCAGCAAUUUCUGCAUAAAGUAUUUUCAACGCAGCCUGUAAGAAUAUUCUCAAGGUUUGGUGCUCUAUAGCUAGCUAGCACUGGGGUCCAGUUUCAUUCAUGCAUAAUUGUAGUUGGUUAGUCUUUUUUAGUCAAUGUCGAUCAAAAUUGUUAAGCCAACCAUUAAUCAUCAUUAUUCAUGCUCCUUUAUUCUUUUGAUAUCUCAUUUUUUUUUAAAUAAUAUUUCGCUUGCAUCAUAAACACAUUUUUCAACUCACUUUUUUAUCUCACAUACAUUACAUCACAAAAAAUGCUAUAGUAAUUAUUCCAAAUAAUAUUUCAAAUAAUCUUCUAUCCAAACAAACCCGUUCUUUACACUCCUCUUACGUUGUUUGCAAUCCUAUUAUCCCAUUUGCAUCUUGAUUAGACUAUAUUAUUUUACUCAUGUUCUAAUUUUUUCUCCUACCCUAACUUGUAUUCACAUGCAAGGAAGUUGGGCACAAUUGUCAUACGUGUCCGAAAGGUAAAAAAAAAUAACUUUAACUUUUGCUUCUCUUUUUUUAAAUCUUCAUAACUGUUUUUUAAUUUAUUUUUUAUAUUCUUGUUUCAAUUUCAAUUCUGCAGAUUUUGAUGAGCACAACUAAGGUUCCAUUGCAUCAUCUGGAUACUAAGAUGCUGUUAUGCUUUUGUUGAAAUAUACUAGAAAGUUUCACUCCCUGUAUAGUGGAUAUUUGAGUUAUUCUUAGUUGACUUUUUGAAGUAUUAGUGUUUUAUUUAUGAGACAUUAUAGUUAUACUCAGUUUUUGAUCGUCUUUGAAGUUUAGGAUUUAUUUAUUUAUUUUGUUGGUUUGAAGUUUGGAAUCUGUUCGUAUUACAUUGCUAGAUUGAUCUUUGGCAUCAUAUAAUUUCGUGAAGUUUAGUAAAAAAAAAUACAUAAUACAUAUUAGUGACAAUUUUAAAUUAGCCAUUAUAUUGUGUAAUGGAAUAAUUAAUUGGUUUUAAAAUGUAAGAAAAAAUCUAGUAAAAUUAACUCAUAGGAAAGGAGAAGAAAUUAGGAGCGGGGUAAUAUUGUCUCAUCAAAAAUAAAACGAAUCAACUAAUCUCCCUAUAUUAUCAUUGCAAAUAAUGACUACAAAACCUAUAUAUUGACUUUAAUUAUGACCCGGUAAGAAAACUCUGGGCAAUUGCCAUGCAUCCUUCAAAGUUUAAUAAUUAACAUCCUCGACGAAAUAUUUCUUUGUUUUUAUCUCCCCCUCUUUUUUUUUUUUUUUUUCUUUCUUUUUGGGUGGGGUUUCGGACUUUCGGCUUAGCUUUGGCUGUUUCAAAUUUUCAACGUUCUAACCUUGAAAAUGACAUCAGAUUGUAAUGUGUGACUUCCUUUAUCCACACAUAAUUUUUGUCUUUGCUGUUAAAGAUAAAUAGUGCCCGUUUUCUUUGACCGCAAGCCAAUCUUGAAUAAGGAGAAAAUGUAGCGAAUUUACAAAUACCGAAACGAAGGAAAAAGAACAUUGAGGAAGAAAUAAUUUGAAACUAUAUAAAUCAUUGCAAAGUUUUCCAAAACUGUAAGUUAAUUCCUUUUUUCAACAAAGGAUAGUAUACAUUAUGACACAGGGGGGAAAUUAGGAAAUGGUUAAUUAAGCAAGCUUUCAUUGUGAAACGCACAUUUCUUGAAGGUUUUAAUGUGGAUAUUUAUACUACUUUUUGAGGAUAGUGAAAAUAUAAGAUGAAAAUGCACUGAUUUAGUUUCAACUUAAAAGUUAUAAAACAGUCGAUUUUGGGGAAUAUUAGAAAUAUAUGAGUUAACUACUGUUAAACAGGAAGUCAAUUUGAUUUAAAAAAAAAAAAAAGAAGAAGAAGAAGGGAACUAGGGGAUAUUUUAAAUAUAGUAUUUUCCUUUUAAAUGUAGCACUUGAACAUUGCCAGCAGAAAUAACCAAGAAACAAGCAUGUCAACUGUAAGAGGGGCAAGCAGAUUUGAGGACGUUUUCCUUGUAAGUUGUCCCGUGUUUUCGAGUACCUAUAACAAGUUUCUGAUGGUCCCAAUAAAGUGAAAAAACACCAAGUCAAGACCAAAAUAAUCAUGGUGGCUUUUCAUCUUUCGUGAUUCCAAUUGGAGGCAAACAUGUUAGCAGAGUUGACACGGUCUCUUUUAACUUCCUUUACCUGUAAAACAGGAUAGAUUAAGUUAUAGAAUGUUAAUCAGUUACGAGUUGCGGAGAAAAAAAAUGUUAACUGAGUUGACGGUGAUGGCAUGGACCCAUUCUUUACAGGGCCGAUGGGAUGGAUCCUUUUUUUUUUUUUUUUUUUUUUUUCAUAAAAUUGCAGAUCCCAUUUUAAGUGAUGUACACUUGAUCUUUGCAAGUCAAAGUACCAUGAUAUGUUGCCAAGGGAUGAACUCUUUCUUCUUUUUAAUCAUUCGUGGACAUGAACUCAAAUCCUAUUUUUCGUCUUUUUUUUUUUUUUACCAAGGAGAGAAUUUUGUAUUUCAUUUAAUCAUUUACCAAGCAUUGUUGUUGCCCAAACAAGGUAAAAGUCAUUUGUUUGAAGAUUUCAAGGGCACUAAAUCGUUAGACGUAUUGAAUAGAGCCUUGAUUGGUCAACAGGAACUCAUUAUACAACUCAAAGAUUUCCUAUUUUGCUUCCCCAUUUAAAAAUGCUGUGAGAAAUUUUACCUACUCUUAGUGCAAUCAUUGUGGCCCAUCACUCCAUUUUUGGGAACGCCGGUUCCGUCAGUCUUGUUUGAUUAUAUUUCUUAAAUUGUCUACCCCAAACCUUCAGUCCCAGGUCCUUUGGGCUCCCCUAGCUUGGCCCAUCCGGAUGACCAUUUCGCAUUAGAUUAUUCAUAUUCAUUUUUGUGCUCUACAUUUUUUCAACUUCAGAUUUCUAGCUAGAGUUGUAAAUGAUCUGAUCUUCAUGUUCAACUCUUUAUUAUAGCAUAUUGGUUGGUUUUGACCCGGUCAUUUAAGAAAGUAAAAAAAUGAAAUCUACCAAAUCUACUAAUUAUAUUAGUGCGUUUCUUUGUCAUUAUUUGAUAUUUACUUCAAAAGUGACAAAAUAUUCUUACAUUACGUUAUAUUUUUGUCAAAAAAUUAUCCCAAAUAAUCUCCUAUCCAAACUCACACGUUGAAUACAAGAAAACAUCCUAUAGAAUACAAGAAAAAAACAUCCUAGUUUGUUGCAAAAAGGAAAUUGAAGAUAGGAAGCAUUGACCUCCCGGUGAAAUGUAAGGUUAUGCCCAUCCAUUUCUAAAGAUCUCUCAAGGAUUGCUUCAAUAAAACCACCAUGGGGAAGAUCUUAACACUUUGAAAGGAGGGUCCAAAAAUUUUGGAAAAGAGGAAGUGAAGUAAACAAAAACUAUUUCAGAACUUCUUGGAAAAGAUUACAGUAAGGGAAUUCCUCAUACACAGCAUACAAGUACGAGAGUAAAUUUCAAGUACACUGCGAGCAUAUAUGUUUGGCAAAGGAUUCUAGGGAGAUAAAAUUGGCCUUCUUUGGGUAUUUCAGAAUAUGUUGGUCUGCCUUCCAAGCAACUGAGAACCUUUGUUUCAUGAACGUCUGCCUGUAGCUAGUUGGUUGUCAUUUAGGCUUUGAACUAAUCUACUGGUUCCGGAUGUGGAAAUUGACUAAUGCGUACUUGAUUUUGCUUCAAGCUUCAACCCCAGGUAAAAGAAGAUAGUCGUGAAGGGAAUAACUCUUGCUUCAUCACUCGUGCAAUUACUAAACAUGGUCUUAUGGUUUUGAGAUGGAUCAAGAAACUUCAAUUACUGCCAAAUUAAAGACCAUGCUAAAUCGUCUUUGGCAAGUUUAAAGAUACCAGGGAGGGAGGAGGGGGCAUUGCCACCCAAGUUUUUAAAAAAAAUUAGGUUUUCUCCCUCAAAAGAUUGGAAACAACUUCGUCUUAUCUGUUCUCUUCUCCAGCUGGGCUGUCCCUGCGAAUGUUACACUAUACCCUUUUCUCCACUCUUCCCACAGUCUCCUGAUCACACAAAAUAAUUCUUCCCACUAUUCUCACCUUUCACUCAUUCGAGGUCACCGCCUGCAAAUUGACCAAGCCCAUGUCGAUGAAUAAUCAAGCAGUUCUGCAGUUGGGAUGUCGUUUUUUUUUUUUAACUCUUCCCUUUUAUUCAUUAAGUCAACAAAAAAUAAUUGAUUUUUGAUUCCAUGAAUCAAGGAGUUGGGAUGUCGUUUUUUUACUGCCCCCUUUAAGUACUAUAUAUUUGUCUUGUACUUGGAAUGGAACUUCUUGCCCAUACUUCCAUCAUUUGAGGUAAGCAAGCAUGGACUAUGAACCAUGGACAUUCUUUGCAACUGUUGUAAAAGAUUUGGAACUCAUAGGCAUACCAGUUUCCAUAUAGAGUUGGAACUCAUACUGGUUGAUGACGCUCAACCAAUUAAAUGUCCAAACAAACUUCUUCGACUCGUUUCUCUAUCUACCAACAGCUCACCAAUUGACUUUUUGUCCCUUUAGAGUCUUCACUGUCUCAUGUUUAAUAGGGAACAUUGUAUUCAUCCUUGUUUUCAGUAGUUUGGAUAGAGAAUAUCAAUUUUCAACGCAAUAUAAAGACAGAAUAAAAUUUUGUGAACCUCAUGUAUAUUGUCAAAAAUGAUGCACGCCACAUAAUCCGGGUUAUAUACUCCCUCCGUCCCACUUUGAUAGUCUUAUUUUCCUUUUUCGUCUGUCCCAAAUUGUAGUCCACUCUUCCAUUAAGAAAUGUAGUAAUCUUUCAAAUUGUCUAAAAUACCCUUAUUAAAUAUCUUGUUAUUAAAUACUAACCCACUACAUUGAAUACAUUGAGCUUUUCCAAUACUAACCCAUUAGCUGUACCUGAUAUUAAUUGGUACUCCUCGUGAUUAGCGUAAGGGUAUUUUAGGAAAUUAUUAAUCUAAAUUUAUGUUUCCAACCAAAUUAAUUACACUUUCUUAAUCUGUGUGAAAAAAAAACCAAGACUAACAAAACGGGACGGAGGGAGUAAUUUUUUUGGGGGCUAAUCUUGGCCAUUACCAUUAAUUGUCCUUGCCCCUAAUUCCAAUUUUUGUACCACACAGAUAUCUGCAGCUAGAAAUUAAUGCAAAGAAAUCCCUUUGUGGAUACAAAAAAAAAAAAAAAAAAAAAAGGAAUGUAUGUGAAGUCGUGCCUUUUGUAUAUGGUAGCCCUGGCAUACACGAUAACUGAUAACACGAACAAUUUGUUUUUCUCUUUGAGAGUCAAAAUUUGUGACAGACAUUAUUAAAAGAGGCAAAAUUUUUAGCAAGAAAAAGUGCAUUUUAUGGCGCAUUUAUGAAGGUUGCUGUGCUAGGAAACUUCGAACAAAUAGCUUCCUCAGUUUCAGGUUUUCAGCCAUUUUCUACUUCAAUAUAAAACAACACCAUAAGCAUCCUAGUUUGUUAUGAUACUUUGUAUGAGUAUCAUAGUUCCUUGUUUUUCUUUAACUAAGCCUUUUUUUUAAAAAAAAAAAUACACAAGAGAUGAGUGAGAUUUAACAAACGGAGAGGGAAAAGUGACUAAUUUUAUACUAAGCCUUAUUUGUGUCACAAAACAUUUUGUUUCUUAGAUAAGAGAUUUUUCCUGUAAUUACAUAUUUAUGAGUACAAAUACAAUGGCAACAAACUUAGACGGGAUACAGACAUGCAUACAGUUUUGGAUUCCCACCCAUGUAACUUAAAUGGCCCAUACUAUCGGUCGGUGCAGCCAGUGGAAAACAGCAGCGCAGCUCAAUUAUGUGCCCCCCUCUUGGCCUAAAAAUAUAGUAUUUUGCUCACAUAAAUCGAAUUCUUAUCAAGGUGGCGCCAACAGGAAAUCUGAAAUCCUGUAUACCAGAGUAGAAAUCAAUUAAUGAGAACAAGCAAAAGCUGUAUCUCGGCAUUAAUAGCAAACAUACUUGCACCCUUUCCGAAACUUAACAGAAUAGUACAUAGAAGAUUGCAUGCUAGCAGAAAGGCGGUUAAUAAUUGACCAAGGAUCUGUUUGUUUGAUGACAUUAAAAAAUGUUGAAACUGAACUUUUUCAGACAUUCAGAUGUUUUGAGCGUUUGAUAAAUGAAAAUCCAUCUACUGAAUUUGUUAAGCAAUGAUGAAGUUGUGUGUAUUUUUUUUCAGCACAAGAAUCCUAACUGAAUACUUAAUUCUGAUAAGAAUUAAUAGAAUUACUUCAAUUAUCUUAUCUUAUCUACCAAAUCUACUAUUGUUUGUUAAUUAUGUUCAAAAUUCUUGUUUAAUUAAACAACUUGAUAUUCUCUAUCUAAGGGUUUUCUAUUUCUCUUUCCCCCAUUUUUAAUGACUUUCACAUCUACUCCAUACUCCUCAUAUAAUAUAUUUCAUCUUUUACAUUAAUUUGAUUUAAAAAUAAAUAUUUUCAUUUUCAUGUCUAAUAAUUUUAAGCUAAUUAAAUCAUAGGUUCCAUUUCUUUUUUGGAUGUAAAGAUAUAAGGGCAAAAUUAUCAAAUUUAACUUAUGAACCAUUCAGUUAUAAAUGUUUAUCAAACAGCAUAAAUAGGUUUAGCAUUAAAAUUUAGACAUUUAUAUAUUUCUUUUCAGUGCUUAAAAUUCAACAAAUUAAUUUUUUCAGUAUUCAGAUUUCAGAAUUCAGACUUCAAAAUUCAGAUUCAGUUUUAUCAAAUGGAACCUAAAUUUUAUAUAUACUACAAAUAUUUAUGCUACCGUCGUUAAAUUCAUGACACAUAUGCAAAAGUUGGAGUUCAAUUUCAAGUUUUAUAAUUGUCAUUCUUUGAAAACUCAAUCUGUAUAUAUGUUCAAUAUAGGAAAAAUUAAUUUUUAAUAAUUUAUGAUCUUUAAAGAAAUGCAAGAAAAGAAAAUUGCCGACACAAUUACCAUUUAGGGGCCAAUAUUUCAAAAGCCCAGAGCCCUUUUGCGUGAAAAAAAAAAAAAAAAACUGGUUCUUGCAUAUGGCCAUGCAUGCUAAAUUGACUACAAUAAAGAGUAUUUAGCAAAAGACAAUGAAACAUCGAUUUCCUAUUCGCUCUCAUCUCACCCUUCCCAAAACCACAGCUCGUACGGCAUUAUCCUAUAAUGGAUUGUUUUCUCACAAGACCAGUUUAGUAAAGAUCAAACGGCAGUAUGGUACAUGAAUUUUGCUGUUCAUAUAUAGUCCCACAUCUUAAUUUUAUGUGCAAGUGGGGGAUCAAGUGGAAGGUUUUCUCCUACCCUUCUGAUUACUUUGUGCUUUGGCAAUUUAUAUUGGGCCUCAAAAGUCACCCCACAAAUCAGAAGUGGUGAAUUGGCAGUCAUCAAACACGUUUGACACUUGCGAGUUUCAAUUUUCAACCAUGAAUCUUUCCUUUCAAGAACAGAAUUCAGAAACUAAGAAGAAAAUUUGCAUUAAAUUUAAACAACAUAUAUAUGUUCUGCUCACAAUAUUUUAUGCUCUCCAGCACGUUGAUUCUCAGAAUUGGCUAGCUGUUAUGUUUUAAUGCCAACUAUAUCCUCAACAGCCUUAAAUGCUUCCCCAACCCUUUUCUCCAAAAAGCAAAAAUAACCAAAUAAAUUAAUUUAAAUAAAAGCAUCCCACAAUUCCUUAUUAGUAUAAAUAUAUGACCAAUCUCUCUUCACAUGCACUCACAACCUGCAAACUUCAGGCUUCCACAGCCCUAUCCGCCACCCUCCACCACCAACACUGCCACCGCCCCCUCCUGCGUUCUGGGAGAAACAGCAAAUAUACAUCCGUAAAAUUUCCAAACAUGAUAUCUUUGAAGCAAAUUAAACUUCUCCAGUUCUCAUUUUUAUGUCUCUUAUCACUGACACUCCUGCUCCACAUCACCUUAUCCUACAUCCCAUUCGUAGCCGUCGUCCUCCGUCUCCUCUUAACUCACCUCCACCUCUCCAUAUUUCUCUCCAUUUGCAUGCUCCUCUCGAUCUUCUGCGGGCUCAAAACCCGCCCAAACCACGUCUUUCUCAUAAACUACACGUGCUAUAAGCCGCCACCCCACCGGAAGUGCCUGUACGGGGUAGCUGAAUCCUUUUUACUUCGAAACCAACAUUUCACCCAAGAAACCAUUGAAUUCAUGCGUAAAAUCUACCUUAAAUCCGGCCUAGGUGACGAAACCUACGCACCCCCCUUCAUUUUCGGGGAAGAUACUACUCCCACGCUAAAAUGCGCCAUCCAAGAAGCUCAAGAAGGAAUUUUUUCUUCCAUAGAUGCACUUUUGUCUAAAACCCUAAUCGACCCUCUAUCCAUUGACAUCGUUGUUGUUACAUGCGGUAGCUUUUCACAUUCGCCUUCGCUUUCCUCUCUUAUUGUAAACCAUUAUAACCUCAAACCGGACGUGAAAACUUACAAUCUGAGUGGAAUGGGAUGCGGUUCUGGGGUUUUAUCCAUUGACUGUGCAGCUAGGGUUUUACGUGCCAGUGGAAAAGCCCAACAUGCCCUUGUGGUGAUCACCGAAAGCACAACUCUAAACUGGUACUCCGGUGACAAUCGUUCCAUGCUUGUUACAAACUGCAUCUUUCGCGUCGGAUGCACCGCCGCAAUGUUGACGAAUGACCCGAGUCGCCGCUCAGUUGCCAAGAUGGAACUUGUUGACAUUCUCCGAACUCACCACGGAGCCGAUGACCGGUCGUACCGGGCUGCAUUUCAGGAGGAGGAUGAUAAAGGGUAUACCGGAGUUGCACUUACAAAGGAUUUGGUAAGAGUGGCUGGGGUGAAUUUGAGGGAGCAUCUUACUAUUCUUGCACCGCGAGUUUUGCCACUGAGUCAACUCGUUCUUUACGCGUACUCGGUGGCCGUGGCAGCAUUGUCCCGUGGUGAGUCCAAACCAACGGUGCCUGAUUUUACAGCAGCAUUUGAGCAUAUGUGUAUUCAUACUGGGGGUAAAGCUGUAAUUGAACAAGUGGCGAGGGUUUUGAGAUUGAGGGGGGAGGUAACUGAGCCAGCUCGGAUGAGUUUGAACCGGUUUGGUAACACGUCUAGUAGUCUUGUGUUUUAUGAAUUGGCUUAUUUUGAAGCAAAAAAGAGAGUUAAAAAGGGGGACAAAAUGUGGAUGAUUGCAUUCGGGACUGGAUUCAAGAUUGGUAGCUUGGUUUGGAAGUGGUUGCAAAAUUCAGCCCAAGAAAAUGAUAAUCCAUGGAAUGACUGCAUACAGCGUUACCCUUUGGACGCUUGGUAGAUUUGACCUUCUUCAUAAUUCAGCUCGAGAAAAUGCUUUUUUUUUUUAACUUUUUUGGGUGAGGGUGGAGGACAUAUAUUUUGGUCAAAGAUGGACUGAUAGAUGGAUUGCUCUGUUACCAAAGUUGCAUUGGGAGUGUCGCCAUGGCUUGGAAAUUUAUCCUUAAUUCGACAGGUCAAAUAAGGGUAUCUCUGAAGCCAAUUCCAUUUUGGGAUUGCAGAAUUCCAUCGCCACCAACACUGAUCUGAUCAUUUAAUUGCAGCAGAGAGGCCCAAUUUUGUAUUGCAUAUACAGAUCUCACAUUCAAUUGAGAGUAUUUUUAUUUUCAUUGCGUGGGAGGUGUACCAUUUUUCAAUCAUUUAAAUAUAUGAAUAUGUAAGUAGUCCAUGAGAAAACCUUGGAUCAUCUAUUUUAUUAUACAUUUUGGACUUCUUCUCAACUAGGUUUACAUUCGAGCAAUUCUGCAAACCCAAUGAUUCUGCACAAAUUUUGAGCGGCUACUGACUAAACGCAUUGCAAGUGGAAUGGCAGCUCUAUCAAGGAAGGGCUUAUAUAUAGAACAUCAGGAAAGUUGUUCGAUCAUGUAACAAGCUUCAAACGUUGAUCAACAUGUUUUUGAAAAUGAUCCAGAGAAAAAAUUGAAAAUCAGUAGUGGCAGAAACAGAUUUCAAGCCUAACUUGUGUUUUAUUGUCAAAGAUAGUGACAUAAUCGGAGUAGCACCCCCGGAACCAAUAAUAAUCUUGGGUAAAGUUAUGAAUACAAUAAGAAAUUUAUUCGAUCAACUCAAGGAAUCAUUGAACAAAUAAACAAUUAAACUCAAAGUACUUACUGCAUAUAUUCGAGGUGACCCGUCCAUUCUUGUGCGCCAAAAUAUAAGGUGAAGUUGACGCAGAAAACACACAUUUAGAUAUAAGGUGAAGUUUUCAACACCAUUACAAGAGUACGCACAUUUGUGCAACAAUGUUAUAAAGUUAAUUUAAUGAAAUUGUAUUCUAAUAUUUUUCCAGGCUACCAAACUGCCGUUUGUGUCGCAGCCUUUACACUUAUAAAUAUGCAUUUGACAUUUUCUAAUCCAAUUUAUAACCGUAACUAAAGUAGUCCUCACAAUUAUGUAUGUAUUGUCUUUUUUUUUUGUCAGUAACAAUACACUUGUAUAACCUACUCUAUCCUAAUCUAGAGGGGAGAGGGAGCCUAAGGAGGCUGUGGUAGGGGGCUAGUGGGUAUACAAACUCAACUAAAUCAAAGAAGUGCUAUGGUAUAACCCUCACCUACACUUUAAGGAGGGAUUUAAACCCCUCCCUGGUGACCACUGAACCAAUGACCCAGUGGUUAAUUAUGUAUGUAUUGUCAACCACAUAAUUUUUUAAGUUUGUCAAGUGAGUUGGCAAUAAUGCGGCAAUUGCUUCGAAGGAGGGAUCAGAACUGGGUGUGGAUUGCCUUCAAUCAUAGAUUUGAUCGCAAUGAAAAGUUAAUGAUUUUGUUAGGUGCGAUUUAAAAUUGAUGGAUGAGAUCAAUCUAAGAUACAAUUACUUAGAAGUAUCAAAAUUUGUUAUGUCAAUUAAUUGUUGCAUGUUAUUAUGUUAAUAUAUAUGGUUAGCAUAUCAGUGUUUACAUUUUCUUCCGUAAAUUGAACUCAUGACUGUAGAAGCCUUGGCUCCUGUCAUAAUAAACGCUGUCUCAAAUUAUAAGCACAGAGGUUCCCUCCUUGCCAUACUACACGCUUACAUGGUUAUGCCUCGGGGAUAUCCUGUCUAGUAAUGGUGAUUGAAACCGAAUCUACAUGAAAUUUUUUAAAAACAUUUACAUGGCUAUGAUUUCUUUGUAUUCAAGAGGCGGAAAAUGAUUCAUUUUGUUCCAAAAAACUUCUCCAUAGAAGUCAAAGUGUAUGUAGUUUACCAUUUAAAUCUGCUACUGGUCUUUCUAUAGAUGCAUGCAUCAAUAUACACGUGCAUUGUGGUUUUGAGGCCUGGUCGUGGAGCAGCAGCAAAAUUAAGUCAGAGACACCAUGAGAAAACCAUCCUGCUUCUCAACUCAUAAUCUUAGCAAUAGGCAACUGUGGUGGCCCUUUGAUGCUGCGUCUCUACUUCGUCAAAGGAGGCAAAAGUAGAUGGCUAUCAAGCAGGUUAGAAACCGCAGCAUGGCCUCUAAUUUUCAUCCCACUAACUAUCUCCUAUCUCCAUCGCCGCAAGAAUCAAGGCCACAGCACCAGCCUAUUUUUUUUUAUCAAUUAUCUGGUUUUCACGGAGACCGCCGUCAUCGGCAUCCUAACCCGUGUCGCGAAUUAGUUGUGCGCCUCCGGGCUAGCCCACCUCCCCGUCUCAGCCUCUUCUAUCAUCGUUUCUACACAGCUUGUUUUCACUGCUAUAUUUGCUUACCUUCUUGUUAAGAAUAAGUUCACAGCAUCUUCUCUUGUUUUGUUUGACCGUGGGGUUGGGUUGGUUGUUUUGGCCCUGCAUACAAGGAUUGAUCGGCCAGAGGGCGAGUCAAAUAGGUUGGAUGUUUUAGUUUUCACGAUGACUCUUGCAGCUGCAGGCUGCAGCUGUGUAUGGGCUGAUUUUGGUAAUGGUGGAGUCAAUUUACUUGAAGGCUAAGCAAUUUAUUACGUACUAUGCCUUUGGGGUGGCGGAUUUGCCGGUCUCCACUGCUUCACUCGUUGCGGCAUCACAACUGGGCUUUCACUGCAUUUUUUGCAUUUCUUAUUGUUAAGCAAAAGUUUACUCCGAAUACCAUGAAUGCGGUCGUCUUGCUAACGGUGGAAAUGGUGAUUGUGGCCUUGCAUGGAGGCAGCGACAGACCUAAGGGAUAGAGCAAGAAGAUGCAUGUUUUAGGGUUUGUUUUGAGAUUGGCAUCCAGUGCUGUAAACGGGUUAAUUUCGCCGUUGACUGAACUGGCGUACAAGAAAGCGAAGCAGGCCAUCUGCUACGCUUUGGUGAUGGAGAUUCAGACUGUGUUUGGCUUUUUUUCCCCCAACCAACCUCCACUGUUGGCAUGAUCGUGAAGAAUAAUUUUAAGGUCUCUUUCCUCCUCCAUGUAGCCUAUGUGUACUAACUUCACGGUUCAAAGUCGCGGUCGCGGUCACGGUCGCGGCUGGAAACGUUCCACAUCGGUCUCGACAUAUCGGUCACGGUCUCGGUGAGACACAAAUUUUUAAAAUAUUUAAUAUUCUAAAAUUUGUAAAAAAUAUGAUAAAUAAAAAUAAUAAAAAUUUAGUAAAAAUAAUAAAAAUUCAAGUUGACUCGGGAUGACUCGGAGUGAUUCGGUGUGACUCGGCCGUUUCAACCCUUCACGGUGACGUCUCGGCCUGUCACGUAUCUCGAAACGUUUCGGUCGCGGUAUCGUCUCGGACUAGGCCGAGACGGAGACGACUCGGCCGAGUCGUCUCGGUCUCGGCCGAGUCUUCGAACCAUGACUAACUUGGCACAAGAUCAUUAGACGGAAAAGUUUACUACUGUGUACUAAUACCCAACCGGUAACCUUUGAGAACUAAUUAAACAGACAUCUCUAGAUCUGCCCAACCGGUAACCUUUUAGAACUAAUUAAAGCAUAUCGCAAUUUCUUCUUUACUCUUCUGGAUUUUCCUUGGACUUUGUCUGUCUGAUUAAGGUUUGCUUGCCUGUUGGUGGUGAAUUUGAGAGGACAGUAGUAGACCUACUAUAUAUAUAACUGUUAGAUUUUGGUGCUUGUGUGUCAAGUUCCUUCGAGGCUCCGCUUCUUUCUUCGCGGUUCUUUCACAUCUCUCUUGUAUAUGAAUCAUUUCAAUUCCCUUUUCGUAUAUGGUGCGCAGAAUAAUUUGAAAGCUAUUUGUAUUCAGUUUCUGCUCUUUAAGUUGAGAUCACUAGGUAGGAUAAGCUGAUCGUCUUUUCUUAGCUGGUCUUACUGAUCUAGUCUCCAUUCGAUCAGCUUAGUUAUGAUGGAAAAUGCAUCUCUAGCAAGUGGAAAAGUAUUUAAGUAUUAGCCACUGACCAGAGAUAAUUAUGUAUAACCUCCUUCUUAUAUUGUACGUAGUUGAUUGCUAUACAGUUGUGACCGAAAAAAAUUCAUAUUAAUUGAGACGUACAUAUGCAUGUAUUUCAUCGUAUUAUCCAGAUUUGGAUGACCAAACACAUCUGCAGAAUGUGUUCUUCGAAUUAAAGAUCAUGAUUCAUGAAUUAGUGCUAAUAUUCUUUGAGAAAUAUUUAGUUUACGGGUAUGGCGCUUUUUUUUUUUUCAUAUCAUGUAAUUUUUGACUGUUAGGCUAAACAUUGAUUAGUAAAGAUGAAAAUGCGUAGGAGUGAAAUUGACGUUCAGCUCUUUGAACCCAAUUUUACCUGCAAAAUUUCCCAAAAUAUUAUCUAAAAAACUGGAUGGAUAAAAACUCGUUCAAAUCCAGUCAAAAAUCGAGUUUAAUCAAAAAAUCGGAAGAACCGAUUUGUGUGCAGAGUUGGUUUUUUUUUUUUUGUGGGAAAAGUCAAAGCAUUUUUAAUAUAAUGUUUUGACCCCUAAGUUGUUAAAAAUUAUUAAUAUACAUCAAAUAUUUCAUACUUUAUAAAUGUUGUCCUAAAGUUUGGUGUUAUUUCUCAAUCAUGUCCAUAAUUUAAAUUCUAAACUUAUUAGUAUUCAUUGAAUAAUAUAAAUUGCUACUUGAUCAUUCUAAUUUCUUUAUAUUUUCUUAUUAAAUAUAUUUGAAACAUCAAAUAUAUAUAUAUAUAUGAAUAUAUCUUUAUUAAUAUUAACAUGCUUUUAGGUAUUUUAGAUACAAUCUUUUAAUUUUUAAAUAAUUUUUAUUUAUGGCAUCAUUCGGUUCAAUCCCGAUCAAAUUCAUUGAUCAUUGAUCCCUAAGCUCGACUGAAUCAAUAUCUGGUCCGAGUCUGAAAACAUAGUAUGAGGAUGUAGGGAAGCAUCAUGAGGAGUCGCAUUGACAGUAAUAAAUGUAUUAGCCUGUCAUCUUUUAUGAAGAAGUAAUGUAUUACCUUACAUAUCAUCCUAAUUUCUUAACGGCCCCGACUACUACAGCUUACCACACAAUAGAUUUUAAUUGGAAUGGAGAUUUAAGGCUAUUAUUAAUGAGAUCUCUUGGCAGGUAAACCUAACUCAUGGUACUUAAAAUUGAAGCCCUAAAGAUGCCUACAUCAUUAUUCUUGUCAAAUGAUUAGAAGUUCAAGAACCUUUUGGUUAUAGAUAUAAUGGCGCGAUGGCUGGAAUUAAAGAUGAAAAUUGAGCAUUCAUGGGUGGGUGGUUGUGUUUUCCCAUCGAUAUCUGGAGUUAACACUUAACAGUAAGCAAAUGCCUGGUGACCUCUGAUCUCCCUUGUAUAAGUUGUUAGCUUUCAUAAUCAUCACACAACAUCAAUCCAUUUCUGAUUCCACACAUUCAUCUGAAAAAUUAAAGACUCAAGUUUCAUUUGGACCACAUUUAAUUAGUCCAGAAUCAAGUUUGGUGAUUACAAAUUACAAUCUUUUGCAGCCCUUUCUUGAUUCAUUCAGAAACACGAAGCUUGGCGAUAAUCAAGUAGACGAAAAUGGAAGCUCAACGCAUUAGCAACCCUACGAGAAAAUUACUGCUUAUGCUAAGCAUCAUUUUAGUAACCGUCGGGGCAUGCGGCGGUCCGUUGAUCAUGCGUCUCUAUUUCCUCCAUGGAGGCAAAAGAAUAUGGUUAACAGGGUGGCUACAAACUGCAGCAUGGCCUCUCAUUCUCAUCCCACUUGUAGCUUCGUAUUGCAAUCGUCGCAAGAAACCCGAAGGAGGCUCCCCUACCAAACUAGUCCUAAUCGAUCUUCGGACGCUCAUAUCAGGAGUAAUCAUCGGUUGCCUAGUCGGCUUAACCAAUCACUUGUAUUCCUUUGGCGUCGGGCACUUGCCCGUGUCAACCAACUCCCUCAUCCUUGCGACUCAGCUAGUUUUCACCGCAUUUUCAGCUUUCAUUCUCGUCGGCCAAAAGUUCAAUGCGUAUACGGUAAACGCCAUAGUGCUGUUGACACUGGGAUCGGUGGUUUUGGCAAUUCAUGCUGGGAGUGAAAGACCAAAGGGUGAGAAAAAUAAGACGUAUGUUUUGGGGUUCAUUUUGACAUUUGCAGCUGCAGCUUUGUCUGGGUGUCUCCUACCUUUGAUUGAAUUGACGUACAUGAAGGCCAAGCAGGCAAUCAGCUACACCUUGGUGAUGGAGUUUCAGUCGGUGGUGUGCAUUUCUGCCACGGUUUUCUCAGCUGUCGGGAUGCUAGUCAACAAUGACUUCAAGGUCUGUUUCUCCCAUACUUUUGCCUGGUAAAUAUAGGAAUACUCAUUUCUUGGGUUUGCCUUUCUUCCUUGUACAUGAUCUUUCAAGCGUGUAAUUAUGCAGGAAAUUUCCCAAGAGGCAAGAGAAUAUCAACUGGGAGAAACAAAAUAUUACUUGGUUCUAGUUUGGUGUGCCAUUGUUUGGCAAUGUUUCACGGUGGGAUUCACUGGAAUAAUCUUCUGUGCUUCAUCUUUGUUCUCCGGAAUCAUGCUCGCCGCUUUACUUCCAAUCACAGAAGUAUUAGCCGUCAUUUUCUACCAUGAAAAGUUCCAGGCAGAGAAGGGCAUCGCUCUAGCCCUCUCUCUUUGGGGCUUUAUUUCGCACUUUUAUGGUGCUAUCAAGCAUGGCAAGAAGCAGCAAAUUCCAGAAGCAGCUGCUCCCUGAGUUUCGGGUUUGUUUGUGCUGUAUUUCUCAAGAGUCUAAUUAUUAAUUAAUUAAUGUACAAUAAUCCAAAAUAUACUGUUGUUAUCUUCACUUAAGAAUUGGUGUACGUCAAGUCAAGGGAUCAUAUAAUUUACUUUGAGGGCAAUAAUGUGAACAUUCAUCGUCAAGGGAUCAUACAAUUUCUAUCCCUUUUUUUUUUUUUAGAUCAUCAGCACCAAAAUUGCGACGGAUGCCAUAGCAUUCCAUUGUCAAGAAUACAAAAAGUCAAGACUUCGAUUUUUUCACAAAAUGAUUUUUAGCUCUUCAUCUAAGUAUCCAUCCCUUCACAACUCCAAUCUUCACUUUGUGAUGACUCUCAUCCCAAAAUCUUCUUCACCAACAGAAGGAUUAACACCAACGCGGAGAACUCAAGCACAUAUUUGGGGGCCAAAACAUGACCGAGCAUUUGCUGCCACCUGUAAGUUCAACCAGUAGACAGCUGCUGGUAAAGCCUGUUAACCAGUUCCAGAAUGUUCACCACAUUCAGAAUGGUAACUAAAAAGAGAGAGAGAACCCAUUUUCCACCAACAGUCUCCAAGAUGAAUGAAUGAAUGAAUGAUCUAUGCUCUAUAUAGUACCAUAAGAUAUAAACGUUUUUCUAUCCAGGGUGCAUAUGAUGUAACUUAGCAAAGCUAAAACAGACGCAGGGAGCAUUCAAGGAAAUUACCACUAGAUAUAACAGCAAGCCGAAGAUUGAUGCAUCAUAGCAACUUAACAAAGAACCAACAAAGAGGUCGAGGGCAGUGGUACUGCACAAAAAGACACCUUAACAGCCAAGUUUGCACAGUUUUCUGAGUCCAUCAUACCCCUGAUACCCCCUUUCCAUGCCCGGCAGGGCUUAAUAGAAGCAGUUCUAUGAUCUCAUACAAGAGCUCCACUGGUUUUAAACGAAACAUAAUAUAGUACUUAUCCCGUUAGCACUCUCUUGCACAGCCCUGUUCCUAUGUGCGAGAACAUGAAAGCAUUAUAAUAAGUGGCAACAAAAGUUACAAACGAAACCUACUUCCUUAUUUGAAUAACAGCUGAAUUACCAACUUACCCAAAAAGCUACUACAAACUCUACCACUUUUUUUUCCCACAUUUGACUAGUCCUUAUUCCCCUUUAAGUUUGCAAAUAUAUUCCUUCUCAAACAAACCAGUUAUUUAAAUGAACAUUGUGAACUUUAUACAUUAAAAAUUUAAAGACAUAAUUCCUUCUUCUUCUUCUCUUUUUUUUUUUUUUAUAUUCUGUUAUUAUCCUAUUAGAAAAUACACUCCAAAGUUGCUCCUUCAAUCAUAACUUCACGUCCUGUAUAUUGAUCAAGGAAUCCCAAGAAAGCAACUGAGACUUUCCAACUUCAGAACCAAUUAGGCGGCUACAGCUUGUCCUUAUUUUUAAGAUAUAAAUAUACAGAUAAAUGUAAGAAAAAAAUCCUACCUCUUACAUUCCAUCCUAUUAUGAAGUAUACCCAAAAAACUCAACUGCUAAAUCCAUGAGGACAUUAUUAAAUAAACUGGAAAACAAACAUACAAAGAGAUCCCAAACAUUUAGUGCAUUGGAGGAAGUUACUCGUGCAAUGUUACAAGCCAUGCCAAAAUUUCCUUGGUUGCAAAAUUUGUCAGAACAGCAAAUUCCUUUCAACAGCAUGGGCCGUUCCAUUUCCAAGAAAUUAUUAUUCAUCUUCAUUACAUGUUAACAGGAGCAAUAGCAAAGGAGGGAGCAUGAGAACCUAUUCCAACUUUCCAAAAAAAUAAAACAAAGAGCCACAGACCAAAGAUACUGAACGACAAGAUGAGACUUGACACACUGAAAGUUUAACAAAGUCAAUUUUGAAGUUGCAUUUUCAAAUAGUGAAACCCAUAUGAAGAAUAGCCCCAGUUCUUCAAUAACAAUCCGCAAAAUUGACAUAUAUUUUCAGUCUUGGGGACUAAUACUUACACUUCAGAUACAAAGGGACAAAACUUUACCUUUGUUUUCUUUUAGUUGCAUCCUUCUAACACGAGCUAAAAUGAGCUACUAGUGUAAGUCUGAAAUUUGAUUCCAGCUAUCACAGUCUUACAGCAUUACAAAUCACCAUCACAAUAUGGCAAUCACAAGGCAUACUUCUUAUACUGGAACACUUAAAUUUGGUAAUAUCAUCUCAAUGGCUGUUCAAGCAAAUAGGGAUAAAAAAGACUUUCAUUACAAAUUCAAAGGUAAGUAAAAAAAUUCUUGGGGACAGGGAUGAGGGAAAGAAGAGGCCAAAAUAUACAGAGACAGCCAAGUUUUAUUUUUUUGUGCAUAUACAACACCUCGAAACUGAAAAAAAAAGAGUUUAAGUAUUAUUACCAUAUCUAAAAGAAAGAACAAACUCACCAACUUCCUUCACCAGACGUGUUAUGCUCACUGGAAAUUUCCUCAUUGGCAAACUCUUCUAGUAUUGCACGUUGUCGUUCAUUUAAGACUCUGAAUAAGAGAAAAUUAUCAGCUAUCACCUUUCCCAAUUUAAUCAGCUAGAAAGCAACUUCAAUAACAGGAUUCAAAAAUUCUCAUGGUCACAAGGUUCACGGAAAAGUUCAGUCCGUGGAAAGGUAGGCAGAUAGAUGUAGAAUACUGCAGAAUAAAAACAGUUGGCUCUAUAUUCCUUGAGUAACAUCUCCUGAAUUUAGAUAUGUUCCAUUGCACAUAUAUGCAAAUAAUCACAUGCUCGUAAACCCAACCAGUUGUUGCAACAGCAUUCUAGUUGAUCAGUAUUGAACUGCUACAACCUUUUUGUGUAACUGGCCCUAUACAGAGUUCAGAAGCUAAGACUGACAUUUUAGAAAGAAUAGUGAGUACAUAAACAGAACUAUUUUGGGAAAGGAAGAGUGAGAAAAUCAGAACUGAAUCAGUUUGCUGCUCAAUGUAUGCAAGUCUAGCAGAUGAUUUUUUGAGCAUUCUGGGAAGCAGAGCAGUUAAUUGAAAUCAUAUCAGGGACCUUUUCAAAGUAUGUUUUAUUGGUAUAAUGCAAUCGUUACUUUCAAAAGACAUUCUUCACUUGUUAGCUUAUUAACCUAGUAAUAAUGCUCUUUGUAUCUUCUCUGCAACAAUACAGCAAUUACUUGUAGCAGGUUGGUUGAAUUAUCUACUGAGGCCUAACCUAAAAUACUCCCCAACCAGAGAAACAGACAAGAGGGCAAGGAAAAAUAAAAUAACGUAAAGAGCUUACACUGGAAAGUUUACGCGAAACCGUACGUACUGAUCCCCAUGAUCUACAAAAAAGCCACUCUUUGGCAACCCUGCAUACAUCCCUCCAUGUAAAUUUCAAAAAACAAAAACGGUAAAAAGCAUCAAUCAAGCUUUCUCUGAGGGAAGCAAAAGGUUCAGCACACCUUUGCCUCUUAGUCUCAGAAGCUGCCCAGGUUGAACACCCUUGGGAAUCUGAUUGGAAAAAAAAAAAAAAGGUGGUGAGUUAAAUUCAUAAACAGGUCACUAUAACCCUCUGCUUUCACUUUGCCUAGAUAAAUCUGCACCUUGAGAAAGAAAGCUUGCACAUAAGCAUGGCAAGAUACAAGGACAAAAGAAAUAAACUCAAUUGGGCUUAUGCAAAAUCGCAUGACAAGAACACCACAAGGAAAUCCAUAAACCUAUGUGUUACACCUUCACCAAGACAAGCUUGCCCGUAAACUAAAAAUCACCAAGAGAUUGCUUUAUUAAAUGUAUGUCACUACAAGAAAGCCCUGAAGCACUUUAAAAGUAAAAAUCCCCUCGUAAAGUUGGAAUCCAACAUACAAAAGCACCAGGAAAGCAAGCCAGAAUGAAAGAAACAGUUGAAAAAAUUAAACAUUUUCGUGGGCCACCAGUAGUAACAUAAACUUUUACACAUCUAUAUUGCUUUUGAAGCAGUCGUUGAGGUAAAAAGUGUCAUGUUAGAGUAUCAGCAACUUAUCUCAAACAUAAUGCAUCAUCCAAAGAGCCUAACUUACGAUCUUGAAAAACGUCAAUAGCCAUAGUUGUAUGUUGUUUUAUUUUGUCAUCCCUGCAUAUCAACUGCUUUCUAGUAGUCUUUUAUAAGACUGUAGCUUUAAGAAAUCCAGAAUUGAUGCUCCUUGGAUUCAUUGAGAAGAAACAGACAAACAGAGACACGAACACAGAGGAGUCAGGAAGAAAUUAUUUUCUUAAUGUUUCAGUUUCUAUCAAACAUAUAUGUUGUAUCCUCUCACAAAAAAUAAAUAAAUAAAUAAACGACGGAAAUUAAAUGGAAACAGUAUCCUACUUGCUUAAAUCACUUGUCUCUUCAAAAUAUCCAAAACAAGAAAGUGAAAUCUCAUAACUUGAGUAAAGUUUAUUGCACUUUGUGUUUUAAAUAGCACAAAUUUCAACUGCAAGUUUGAAUACUCAAGACUCCCAUAGUAUGCAUAAUCCAUCUUGAUCCAGAUAAUCUUCCCUAUCAGCAGAAAAGAAUUUUGAAGAAGUCCUUAAACCCUGUCAAUAACUACUAAGUGGACAUCACAAGGCUGAAAGUAAAUGUCUUGAAGCAACAUGAGCACCAUUACAUAGACCAGUCAAUGAGAACCCUCCAACAGAAUAUUACCACUAAAGGAUAACUUCACAGUUUAAGAGAGGCAGAGAACGUCACAUCACCACAUAUACAUGUAAUUAACAUCAUAAGGUGAAAUAAACAUCAUACUUGCACUUUCGUCUUCCCAGACAGAGUUGGCACUUCCACAUUUCCACCAAGGAUAGCCUGUUAAAAAAACUCUAGUAAGCAUUGAACACCAAGUCCAGUACUAUCAAAUACAAUCACCACAUAACUGUUAUAGAGGAUCUUAAAAGACUUCAAAUUAUUUUAGAGUUCCUAAAAUGUGGCAACAAUCAAUUGAAAGUGAUAUCAAAUUAAGUCUCUAAAUAGCUAUAUAUGCUGAGUUUUAAAGCUCAUAACAGAAACCUCGUAAAUCUGGUUUCAGAUUAAAAAAUGCCUAUCUAGAGCAUUACUUUAACCCAUCACAAUCUGUCUGAGCAGACAAAUAUCGCCAGAAAAAUAAAAAUCAAAGAAAGCAUGAAAAAACCAUAGCUAAGCGCAUCCAAAACCAAGUCCAAGUUCUCCAAGAAGUACUUGUUGAAAUCAUCCAGCUAAAUGUCUCUAGAACAUGUCAAGCACUUGUUGAAUAAGGUAUGCUAAAAGAUAAGACUAGCUCCAAAGUCAGUGAAGUACAUACAAAUUCUGCUUGUUGGGACCCAAUGCUCGAAACAACACAAUCAAGACCCUAAGAGAUGGCAAUACUGUUCAAUCUAGUUGUCACUACGACAAUUUUUACAAUCAAUUAUGCCAAUCACAAAAUAAACAGUUAGAUAAACACCUUGAUUGGUUCAUUCAAGGUGGAAUUUACAAUUUUUUACCAAAAUUAUACUUUCUAAAUUGAAACAACAAGUGAUACAGGUUUCAGGGAAAAAAGAAAAGGUAAUAAUAAGAUGUAGCAACAUUUUGAAUCCUAUCUUUUUGAGUUUGUUUCCCUUAUUUUUGCAUUUAUCCAUCCAGAUUCCAGCUUAAAUGUUAAUUACUUUUUGGGUACAAUUUUUCAUAGCAACUGAAUAAUGGAACACAAAAAUGCUUUGAAAAAGUUUAUUUAGUAAAUUUUUUAGAUUAAAUCAGAACAGUAAUCAGAGACCAAACAGACCUUACUUUAAAUCUCUCUGCCUAUGCUGUAACUUUCAUACAUUGGUAUUUGAGAUUCACAGGGCCAAGAAACAUAAUAAUAAGAUGGUACAAAUAUCUCCACUAGAGCCCCAUAGAACUUUCAAAAAACAUCCAUAUGGAUUCUAUCCGAUCACGAAUGACAAAGAAAGGUCCAACAAAGAAGGUAGGCAGACAGUAUACUUGUAAAAGGAUACUUAUUUGGUUCAGAAUCAUAGUGAACACAAAAAUUAUCUGUCCACAUUAAGCAUUAGCUGUGCCUGUAGAUUAAGGAGACUUAAACAUAAAAGAGUAAAAGAAUGGUGUCUCACUUGUGUAAAGCUUAUAUUACUAUCUACAUAUAUAUCAGCCCCAUCUCUGGCAAAAAGAGGAUCUUCAGUGACCUGAAACCAGAGAUGCACAAAUUUUCACAAAGCAAAUAAGAGUAAUCAUACCUUUAUGGUUCUGUUAUGUCACUAUAUUAAACCAUUUUCUUUAGGUGGAUAAUUACAUAGUGUAACUGGACAUAGAAGUUACAACAACAUUCUUGUACAACUUGAGAGAGAGAGAGAGAGAGAGAGAGAGAGAGAGAGAGAAGGGGGAGGGUGGGAAGGACAACAAGGUUCAUAUUAGGGAACUCUAAACAGAAAGAGGUAGUAUACAAAAGCAUUUAGUGGAAAAUUAUAAAAUUAAUCAAGAAAUAAGAAUUUAGUGGAAUAAAACAAAUUCAAGCAAGAAGGACUCUACCUUAAGCUUUAUGAACAGGCUGCCUGGUUCGAGUCCAUGUCUGCCAGCAUUGCCAGCAUUUUCAACAUGAAUUGUAUCCCCAGUGUCCACACCUGCUCCAUGAUGAAGAUGAGCAAAAACAGCAAGCCACUCAAUAUUUCCACCACUGUCGCAUCAUGAUGAUAUAAUAGCUAGGACACAAUCUUACAGGCAACAUAUCCUGAUUUUUUUUUUUAAACUAGCAUAUCCUGAUGUCUAUAACAAGCAAAGACAAUUUAUUUCACAAUAGCAUCCUCGCAUGAAAAGAAAUAUGCAAACCCAGAACCAGUAUGAGAACAGCAAACUGCUUUCAUAAAAAAAUUUUGAAAAACCACCAAAAUCCGCAUGUAGCCAUUGGCAAUUUGUAAGUAUCUACAGCAAGUUUAUAAGCAACAAGGGUCAUACUUCAACAUAUAAACCACUUCCUGUAAAAUCUUAAAAGGACACCUGUCAAAGGUUCAAGAUCGAAUUUCUAUUCCUGAAGAUAUUAAAAGUUCUCGGGAGGAUACACAUCGGAAGUCCAGCUAUUAUUAUGUUGUAAUACCAAAGUGUUCUUCUACUUGCAAGAACAUGGAACUAUACAAUGAAUAUCCAGCUGGUAGCAAUUAAUAGAUCCAAAAUCUUCCACAAUGGUCCCUUAAAGCCAAUUAAAAUGGAUGAAGUUGAGCAAUUUCAAUUAUCCAUGCAAUACAAAAUCAAAAAUAGGAGAUUUAAUUUUAUAAUGAUUUCAAAUGAAAAUGCCAAGUCCUAUGAUCAUAGUCUGGUCAGAAAAACAUUCAGCACCAACCUGCCGGAAUUGACACUUUAACAUGCUUCACUCCUUCAACUGCACCUGAUCCUUGGCAUGCCCUGCAAAAUUCCUAGAAUUGCAUACGUAUUAGAAAUCUACUAAUAAUAAUAAUGAUGAUGAUGAUGAUGAAGAAGAAGAAGAAGAAGAAGAAAUAAACCAACCUUAAAUAUUACACCAGAUCCUUUACACAUACUGCACGUUUCAGUGAAGCGAAGAAAUGUUUGCUACAAUGUAACCAUUAUUAUUCAUGAAUCACAAAACAAAGACACUUUUAAACAGAAAAAAGACCAAAAUAAUCUUAAACCCUGGUAGCGUUCAAGACUAUUAGAUGUGUUAAUAAUAUUAGUAUCAAUGGUAUACGCAAUUAUAACCGCAACACACUAACCAUCCCACUGCCUUGACAAUUAUGGCAAAUUUUUCGCUUUGCAUUUGGUGGAUAGCCAUGCCCAUCUGGGUUUUCGAGAAGACAGAAAACAUGAAGAACUCAGUACAAAAAGACAAAAAAGCAUAAUAUUAGACUAAAGAAAAACAAUUUGAAAGAAUCACAAAAUUAAAGUGCUCCAGAUCAUCCUUGACCUUGUUAUACCCAUGGGACAUAUAACAUGCUAUACCACUUCUAAAUUCAUACUUGUUUAAUGCAGAAACUGAUUAAGAACUCUUCCUCAGAGAGAACUAUGAAGUUAGACCAGAUGCAGAGUUGAAAGAGUAAACAUAAUCUAGGAUUACACAUUUUUAAGUUACAAUCCACUCACUGCAAGCAUCACAGGGGACAUCUGCAUCAAAAGAUAAAUGUUUGGUGCAUCCUUUAGCAGCUUCAGAAAAAGAGAGUGAAAGCUCCACCUAUAACAUCCCGAUCAGAAUCCAAAUAGGUUAAGCUUGCUCAAACUGGAAUAGAUGGAAACAAUAAUAUCUAACAUCACAAAAAUCCCAAGUGCAGAUAACCUGGAUAUCCUUGGUAUGAAAUUUUGCUUGAUCUUUGAAUAUCUACAAGAUAUCACCCACAGUUAGUACAUAAGCAUAACAAGAAUUUCAUUCCAGAACUACAGCAGACAAGCUAAGCAAGCACAACAGCUUUACCUCAGCAAAAACAUCAUAAAAUGAAUCAGAAAAUUGAGUUCCAUAGGUAAAUCUAAACCCAUCCGCAUCCCCAGAAGAAUAGUUCAUAUCUUCUCCAGUCCUGCCAUAUUCACUGAUCUGUCUUUCAUGGUUAAUUAGAUUGGAGAACUGACAAGUCAAACAGCAGAUGGAAAACUAUUUUAACAUACCAAACGCUGAAAAGAUUAUUACCCUAUCAUAUUGGGCUCUCUUUUCUGGAUCUUGUAAAAUCUGGAAUUCACAUUCAACAGAGCAGUUAUCAAUUAAACACUUUUCCCGGAAAAAGUCAAUCCUGAAUUUAUGAUUCCAAAUAUACAGAAACAACUACAAACCUCAUAAGCAUCUCUUAUCUCUUGAAAUUUCCUCUUUGCAGAAGGAUUUUUCUUAUUCGCAUCUGGAUGGUACUUCUUCGCAAGCUAAGAAUUGCCAAAGAGACAAUAAUAAAAUGUCAGAAAAAUAUUGAAAUAUUAUUUAACACAAUAUUCAACUAAAAAGCAUAUAUCAAUACUAUUUUGGCUAUAUAAAUCCACUUUCUCAGUCUCUUUUCUCAAGGUUGAUGUCUCUGCUAAACAGAAAUCAUGGCAGCGAUCAUUAGUUCAUUUCAUCUGCUUCUCUACUUUCCUCUACUUCUGGUGCUUCCAAGAAUCCAUUCUGCACUUCCUAUAUGAUGACCCAAAAUAUGUCUAAACCAUCUUGGACAUUUUCUCUUAUUCUAAACAUUAUAGAUCUCACCUUAACAUCUUAGGACUAAUCAUUACAACACAUUUAACAUGACAUGCAAUAACAUGAUUAGCAACACUUAUCCUCUGAGUUUCCUCUGACAAAUGCACAGUGAACUUCAUAAAAGUCAGAACUCAGAAGAUGGCAUCAUUGAUUUCCAAGACUGACAGUAAAUAGACACGCAAGCAGAGCAUUUUCAACAAGUAUAAUCUUGUGCAUGUUCAACCAUUAGAUUUAUACUCCCACAUCCUUGAAAUGAUAUAAUAUUAAGUUAUGAAAACCAUUUUUGCUUCACCCCAUUUGCAACAUUUAAUUGUGGAUGAAGCAUAAUUCAUAGGUGCUGAUCAUCAUCAAAUGAUGUACUAUAUGGACAGCAUAAUCCACAUAAUAAACAAAACUUCCACCUAAUCCAGUCUUUUUGCACUUGUUCAUUCUUCUUUUUGGAGUGAUUUACGCUCAAAUGCUCAACUUAUACUUCACUGAUAUAUAAUAAUAUUGAAUUACAAUACCUAAUCUUAAUCACACUCCAUGCAUCCUAUGCUCAUAUAACCUCUUCCACAGGUGUCUGUCAAAUUGAGAGUCUUUUUAUCUUUUAUUACAAGCAUAGUCAAAGAAAAGUUGAAACCCUUUUUAAGUGUUCAAAAGUACCUAGUUAAAGAGAAAUUCAACUAGAAGUACUCCAAUAAGAAGUUAGCAAUACAUCAUAGCACUUGAUCAUCCAAAACAAAGUAAAACCAAGUACACACAUACAAAAAAACAUAUAUGUGAAUGUAUGUGUGUCUGUGUGUAAAGCUGUGAAGUUUGAAAAUUAACACUAAAUAGAGGCAUCAUAAUACACUCACAGCAUGAAAAGCCUUCUUAAUCUCCUCUUUGGUGGCAUUUCUAGAGACCCCAAGAAUUUCAUAGUAAUCUCUUUCCGUGGAAUUGGAAGGUCCUGCGAAUUAAUUUGCAUGCAGUAGAAUCAGAAACAUAACACAAUUUGUCACAAAAAUCUCCACAGAAUCAAGACACCUUUUCACUUUAAAUCAAAGAGAAAACCUGUGGCAUGAAUGAAGCGCUUGGACAAUAAUAGCCCCUUAGGAACAAAAUCAGCAGGGUACAAUAAAAUCCUGCAACUGCACAAAUCUGAGGAAACAUAACUUCAGCAUUAGACAGCUUACAUUUCUAUUAUACAACUACAGAUUUAUGUAUAGAAUUAUCUGCACAUCUGCUUCUUAUGGAUUCCAUACUUAGACAACUCAAUAAGAAGUAGAAAUGCAAACCAUGCGGGGAAUGCUUCACAGAUACAUUACCCAACAGUCACUGCAACAAAUACAUACACAUUCACAUAUUAUAGUCAAACAAGAGGAUAUGCACAUAAGAACACACACACAUAAGUACACCAAAACACAAGGUGAACCGGGCCCAGAGAUGCCAGCCUUGCCCUAUACUAAACCAAAUCAAGGCAAAUUAACAAAUGGCAACAUACAGGCAAAGCCACACCAUUCACUUUUUUUCUCAACCACAAAGGCAUUACAAAUUAGACUUGUAGCAUGUCCCUCUGUCUAUGGCAUCCAACAUUGAGGGUUUUAUCACAAGAACUCAAAUUCAAGUUCAGUUGAAAACAGCAACAGCAUAACGUUCAAAAGCAGUGAACCAUAUUUUAGACUGCUGUCAACAUCUUGGUAGCUUUGAGAUAGCUAACCAACUACAUUGUCCCUGUUUCAUGCGUAGCUGCCAACUGAAGAACGUGCCAGAUAAAUGUCACUGCUACCUCCAAUGCCCACCCAAACCAGCUUCUGGCGUGCAACUACACACAGCAAACACUUGCCAGCUAAUUACUACCCUUGUAAACAGCUACAGACCAUACCAAGCAGCUAAAAGCCAUGCAAAACCCAUAAAAUAAUUACUCAUGUUAAACCACUUUUCAAGUGCUACAAACUCUACCAAUGAACACUGCCUUCACCAGUAUGGCUGCUGUCAAUCCACCAACCACCGCCUCCCCCCCCCCCGGGUGCCAAAAAAAUGCAGAACUGCAAACUUUUUUUUUGUAAGCACAGAACUGCAAACUUGAAUGCUCAUGUCCAUGCCCAGAACAAGCCCAAUGCUACCUCAGACAUGGUCAACAUCCAUACUUGGUAAAAUUGCCUAGCACCAAACAUAGGGCAUGUCACCAAACCAUAAGCAUGCCCCAGAGCAGACCUGGUCAUAAGCAUUUUCAGCUGCCAACUAAAGAAUGUGCUACCCAUGCCAGAUAAAUGUCACUGCUACCUCCAACGCCAAGCCACACCAGAUUCUGGCAUGCAACUACACAUGCAAACACUUGCCACCCAAUUACUACCCUGUUAAACAGCUGCAGAUGAGACCAAGCAGCUAAGAGCCAUGCAAAAACCCAUAAAAUAAUUCGACAUACUAAACCACUUUUCAAGUGCUACAAUUUCUACCAAUAAACACUGCCUUCACCAGUGUGGCUGCCGUCAAUCCUUCCCCUCCCCCACUCCCAACCCCGGUGGGAGCCAAAAAAGAAAAUGCGGAACUGCAAACUCAAAUGCUCAUGUCCAUUCCCAGGGCAACCUCAGAAAGGGUCAACCUCCAUACUUGGCAAAUUGCCUAGUACCAAACUCAGAGUGGCCCUGCCCUAGAGCAGACCUAGUCAUAAGCAAUUUCAGCUACCAUCUAAUACUAAACUAAACCUCAUAAAGAAAACUUUUUUAAUUACAAUAGCUAAAAUAUAUUUAUUUUUGUCCAUUCUGGAUGCAACAGAAUGGACUUUACAGAUCUGAAAAUGGACCUACCAGAGAAAUGAGUAUUGAUUCUGAAAGACUACAACAUUCUCUAGAAGAGAAAAACAAUUUGUCAAAAAGACUACAACAUUCUCUAGAGGAGAGAAAUAACUGUUGAUUCUGGAAAAGCCAUUGUGAUAAACGUCCCCAAAUUCCAUUUUCAAGCAUUCUAACGAGAAGAAGAUAAACACCCUUUGUUGAAGUGAAGUUAAAAAAUAGCAUCAGGGUUUGGGGAUAUUAUCACAAUUUGAUGAUGUUAACACCUGAUUUUGUUACCUUCAGAUGUCACUCUAAAAUUUAAUUACUCAUAACAAGAAGAAUCAUUUAAUAAAUUUGUAAAACCAAAUUGCCUUUUCUAUUUAAAAUCAUCAUCUCUGACUCAAUACAUCUCAAAGGUAAACCUUUGGAAAUUGAACGGAGACUCGACAGUAAAUUACAGGUGACCUCGUUACACUAUAUUAAUUUGUGAAUCAACAAGCUAAGUAACGAAUAGACACAUAAAGGAACCUAGAACAGUCACAUUUCCUUUGUGCCAAACCAUUUGAGUAAUCUAUUUCAGCUUUGUCUUAUUUACCAUUUUUGUUCUUAAUUUUGGGCGGCAAAGUUUUGUUUUUUCUUCCUCCUAAGGGAUAAUAUAUAUUCCUUAAGCACACCUACACUGUGCUAAAACCAUCUUUGUAAUGAACAAUCAAACAAUGCGCAAUAACUAAACAAAUUAUAGCCUACAACGGCUUCUUACAUCGGCAGUGAUCCAAGGCCGGAAAUGCCACUUGCAAUGGCCUCUUUCCAGCUGAACAUUCUAGAAAAUUUGAACUCCGAAACUGCGGCAAAAAAUGAAAUGAAAAAGAACAGAAGAAGAUAUGAAGCGAUAAAUCAAAUAGUAAGUAAUUUUGAUUGAGCAAAAAUAAUUGAUUAUUGAUUAAAACUACCCAAAAAUUCUUCAAAAUUGAAUGUGCUGACGAACCAAGCGGCUUCCAUCUGCCCAUUUUAAACUAUUUGAACUCAAACCUAUGAAAAAUUUUUAGGAAGAUUAAUUGGUUUAGAGGUUUGAAACGGGGGAGUUGAAAGCGAGCAACGGUCUCCGACGACGUCGGACGGGCUCAUGGAAAUCCGGAGGUUUUUGGGAGGUUAAAGGCAGUGGGCGGAGCAGCGACAAAGAGACGCCGUCGUUGGGUACCGGAAAUUACUGAUUAGUGACAAGCCUUGGCUUGCUUAGCAAGUCUACAAUGAUUCUAGGCAGGCGGCAGCAGUUUCUGGAACAAAUUGUAAAGAUUGGAAAUGAAGGCGUAAUUUCUCAGCUUAUAUGCUACAGCCCUAUAACCACGCCUUUCUUGUCACGAAGGCGCAGUACAGACGCCUUUUUCAGAACACGCCUUUGGAGUCGCGAGCUAAGCUUGGCUUCAGCGCGGUUCAUUUGCAAUACUCGUCCUCCAUAGAACAGCGACCGUGUUUAACAAAAGAAACAACAGGGAAAAAAAAAUCCUGUGGGCUGUAGAAGAGGGGAAAGAAAUCAAGAAUGGCAGUUCGUCUGCAGCUUUUUGCUCCAAGCAGGUAAAUAUAACUCUUUCUUAACUACCCAGAAAGUUGCAGUAAUUGUGACUGAAGAGUUUCUCCCUUAGUGAUGUUUAAUUUUUGGUGGGGCGGAAAUGUUAUAUUUGUCAGUGUAGCAAAUGAAGUGAUUUGGAGGUUGUGGAGGCAUUUCUCAUCAGAAACAAUUUCUAGACUCAGUACGGAGUCAUUUAACAAGGCCCACAAGAUUGAUAAAGAUGAUGGUGGUGGUGUUGGUGGCCUCAAAACUAGGAUUUUAAAGCUUGUGUACCCACGGCGGAGCGCCACUUCUGUUCUGCAGAAUUGGGUUGAGGAAGGCCGCGGACGGGUCUCAGUCUCUGAGCUCCGUUGCAUAUCCAGGCUACUGCUGAAACGGCAGCGUUUCAAGCACGCCCUGGAGGUCUUUCGUGCUUAAUGCUUUUACUACUUCUUAGGCUUUCUUGACUUCUUGUUUCUGUACCCAUUUUUUCCCUUUUCUUGUUUCCCUUUUUUCAUUUUGUACAUCUCGUAAUUGUGGUGUCAAUCUUGAUGCUUUUCCUAGUAACGCGAAAUUUGGAAGAAUUGAAGCCGAGAUUGCUAGAUUCUUGGACGGCUUUGGUGUAAUUAAACAUGAGUGAAAAGGGAAAAUGAGUUUCUAAGUUUUUGGUUUUAUAGUAGAUUUCUGCUGUUCUGCAAUUUCUAGAUUAUUUUCAUGUUUGUGAUAUGGCCGGUAGAACUUUGCUGAUGGGAUGGAUUACCUGUAUGACUAUCUUGAUAGAUGCUAAUUUCCUUGGCUUGGAUCCCUUUCUGCACAUGAAAUACAGACCUUCCUUGGAUCCCUUUCUGCACGUGGAAGGUUGCUUUUGGUAGUAUUUGCAGGGUGAACGCCAAGAUUGAAUUUCAUUCUUUGACCUUGUACUCGUUGUACUGAAAUGCUUAAACUCAGUGAAAUGCAAUCUCCUUGUUUGAGGGGUGAUUUUUGGUGGUUGUAGUGGCACUGAUGCUAUACAUUUACUCUGGUUUUCAUGUUAAUGUGAGAGUAUAAGUGCAAGAGACAGGAUAUGUAUGUUUCUUUUUUUUCCUAUUGUGGGGUUUAUGUCAGAAAUUCGAUGCAGGAAGCAAUGUUGUUUGGUUUUUUUUCUUUUGCAGAUAUUCACAUGGAUGGAGGCUAAAGAAAGAUCUCGAAUGUCUGCUGUUGAUCAUGCAAUGAGGUUGGAAUUGACAAUUAAAGUGCACACUGUAGGGGAAGCUGAAGAGUAUUUUGAAAAUUUGCCCGACACUGUUUCUAAGAAAGCCGCUUGUCUCCCUCUGCUUCACUCUUAUGUUAAAGAAAGGUCCACUGAGAAGGCUGAGGCUUUCAUGCAGAAGAUGAACAGCUUGGGGCUAAUUGUAUACCCUCAACCAUUUAACGAGAUGAUGAAGCUUUACAUAGCAACAUCUCAACAUAAGAAAGUGCUCGCUGUCAUAGUGCAGAUGAAACAAAAUCGAAUACCAAGAAAUGUCCUAUCGUACAACCUUUGGAUGAAUGCGUGUGCAGAGCUGUCAGGUGUUGGAUCAGCUGAGGAUGUUUACAAAGAAAUGAUUCAUGACAAAAAUGUUGUGAUAGGAUGGAGCUCUUUAUCUACUUUGGCAAAUAUUUACCAAAAAUCAGGAGCAGUUAACAAGGCUUUUUGGGCACUGAGAGAGGCAGAAAAUAAACUAUCUAGCUGUAAUCGCCUUGGUUAUUUAUUUUUGUCAACAAUCUAUGCCUCUUUGAAUAGGAAGGAUGAAGUUGUGCGGCUUUGGAAAGCUAGCAAAGGGGUAAAGGGCAGAAUCACAUGUGCGAACUACAUGUGCAUCUUGUCAUGUUUGGUGAAGCUUGGUGAUAUUAAAGAAGCUGAAAAUAUAUUUCUUGAGUGGGAGUCACAGUGUAGGACAUAUGAUAUUAGGGUGCCAAACAUUCUUCUAGGCGCAUACAUGAGGAAUGACAUGAUGAAGAAAGCUGAAUCAUUAUUUAUCCGUUCAUUGAACAGAGGUGGAUGUCCAAAUUAUAAAACUUGGGAGAUAUUCACAGAGGGAUGGGUAAGGAGCAAUGAAAUGGAUAAAGCUAUAGAUACAAUGAGAAGAUGCCUUUCUAUGUUGGAAGAUUGUGAUUGGAGACCAUCAGCUAGUAUUGUGGUGGCAAUUGCAGAGUACUUUGAGAAGAAGGGAAAGAUUGAAGACGCAAAGCAGUAUCUUGGAAUCAUCAGGAGUUUGGGCCUUGCUAGUUUGCCAGUCUAUAAAUCAUUGCUAAGAAUGCAUGCCUACUCGCAAAGACCCAUUGAAUACAUCCUUGAACUUAUGCACAAGGAUGGAAUUGAAUUGGACUAUGAGGCUUCUGCACUUGUUCAUGAAUUCAAUAUAUGAGAUUGCAAAAGAUGUGUAGUGGCGGAUUCUUUGAUAAGUUUUGCAGAUACAAAUUUUUGGGCUUCAACUUUCUUCCCUGAACCUGAAAACAGCUGGAACGAUCAGCCUGUUGUGUCAAACAUGCUUGAUGCUUGUUUUCAACAAAGUCCGUUUCAAAAGAGUUGGAGUUCCCUCUCCUGGCAACUUGGGUGUUGUAGAAUCAAGAAUUUCUAUAGCGAAAGAGUUGCUAUAACAUCAGAAUGUGAUGCUCAAUUUCUUUCUCUGCAUCUAUGACACAAAGUCAGCAUUAAUUCUUCUUGGACGUACAACAAGAUAACAGUUGUAAGUUUCCUUGGUUUUCAAGCAAAUGAAAAUUUAGUUUUUACACAAAAUGAUUCCAAUGAAGGUACAGACCUACCACAAAAUAUGAAAAAUGCUUUGAUGGCUGAAUUGCUUUCUUUUUUGCAAAUACGCAUAUUCUGAACUCUUUUCUCAUUUCCGUUUUGGAGAUUUGUUGAUAGAAUUGUUUAAAUCUUCUCCUCUGGUGCCAGAAAUGUUGCAGCAAAGUUUUGUCUUUGUUCAUGUCUUUCACUCUUGUCAUAAGGAUUUCUGGAAGAAUUUGGGGUUCCAUUUAUGUCUCAUCUGUUAAUCCUGGUAUAACUCAUCUCCAAAUUCUGGUUUUUCUGAUUCGGGAUCGAAUCUUCUGCUCCUCACUAUCUUUUUGCAUCAGUAAUCUGAAUUUGUUUGUGAAUGAGUUCAUGGUAAUGCUAUAAGCUUGCUUGUUCCAUUAGCAAUUUCUUUUUGCCUUCUUAGGGGAGUCACAUUAGCCAUUUCUCUUUUUCUUCUCUUCUUUUCCCCCAAGGGAGUUGGGUUUUAGGGACAGGGGUUGAGGUUGGUGUGUGUAUCAAAUUACCAGCUUCACAACACCAAGUCAAGUAUUCUGUCUCUCCUGGAAGAAUUGAUUUUGUUCAUGGGUUAUGAAUUUUGCUUAAACAUCAACGGCCCGGAUAAACAAAGAAACCUUAAAAUUCUUUUCAUGCUGCCACAUAAUAUCCAAAGCAAAUGGAAGCCAAUAAUUCUGAAUAACAUCUCAUAACACAUAUGGUUUAGUUGCAUUGUUUACUUAUCCGCUAGCACACAACUGCCUGUUUCCCAUAAUGAGUAUUUUAUUCUGCUAUAGCCGAUGCAUCGUUGAUCUAGCAGUAGACUUAGACAAAUCAUUUGCAGGAACUCGUGAAUUGAAUUGACAGUGUUUCACUUCAAUUUGACACAACUGCUGUCAACUUCUCACGCAAAUCUCUCGUGUGCUUGACCAGUUUGUCGUAAGGUGGCAUAAAUUCUUUCAUGACUGGAUCUUCAAGGACGUAAUCAAUCCACGCAGCAAGCAAAGGCAUAUUUUGCUGAUCAAUGAGUUGUAUCUUAAAAGCUUCCUGCUCCAUUCUAACCCAGUAUGCAAUCCAGGCAAUAGCAACAUCUGCAAAACCUAUCUUCGUGCCUCCAAAACAGCGUUUCCCAUCCAGUCCACUUUCUAGGGUCUUCAGAUGUUCACGAGCUUCUCUUGCACUCUUUUCCAGCUCCUCCCCGACUUUGGUGAUUACUCCUACCAGUGCAGGCACACACUGGAAAGAAAAGAUUCAAAAAAAAAGGUGCUCUGUAAAUGAAAUCAACUUGAGUAAUGUGUGAACUUGGAAUCUUUACAGGGAACAUUAAAUAUUCUUUCUAUAUUGACUCGCAAGUUGCGUUAUUAAAAACUGAUAGCAUAUGAUACAACCUCUAGUAUUAUGCUGGUUGCUUCUAGCCAAAAACUUAGAUUGUUAUGAUGAUCUGCAGAAUUCUGCCUUCUUACUUACCUUCUCAUCAACAAAUUUGGCCCAAAAGCGCGAUCUAGCCCUUUCAUAAGGAUCUUCAGGGAGGAGUGGAUUAUGCUUCCAAACUUCAUCGAUAUACUCGAGUAUUACGAGGGAUUCUGAUAUUGAUUUCCCGUUGUGCAGCAGAACUGGAACCUUCUUAUAAACAGGAUUACCCUGCAAGAGCAGGGGGCUCUUGUUUCCAAGAUCCUCUUCUUGGUACUCAUAUUCAAUGCCUUUGAGUUUCAAUGCCGACCUAACCCUGAGUGCAAAAGGGCUUGCCCAGUAGCCCAGCAACUUGACACCCUCUCCUGCCAUUCUCGAACCUAAAGCUUUGUGGCAAGCAAAGUUUCUCAGUCUAUCUCGGUUGUGUUACCCUGCAAUCCUGUCCUCCUUCACCCACCCACCUAAUAUACCUGCAAUUUUAUUUUUUUAAGGCGUGACAAGAAGACUCGAAAUGAUCCUCCUGUUUAGCGUUGACUAAAAAGCCACAAACUUCUUGUGUGAUGUGAUGCUUUUCUCUUUAUCUAUUUGCCCUACAACCAAAAGAUGUGGACGGGGAUGAUUUACAUUAAGGGUGCGUUUGAUUUUACAGAAUUGGAAUUGAAUUGGAAUUGAAAUUCUAUAGAAUUAGAAUACUAUGAAUUGGAAUUCCAAAACAUUGUAAUUCUUUUGUUUGAGAAAUGUAUAGAAUUGAUACAGAAUUCAUUUCGAAUCCCAAAUUCUUUGUUUGGACGGUAGAAGAAUUCAUUAAGAAUUAGAAUUGUUUUCAUCUAACAUUUGCUUACAUAAAAUUUUUCUUUUUUCUUUUUCCUCUCUAAUAAAUUUUUAACAUUUAGCUAAUUGUUACUAAAACUUCAAGGAAAAAACCAAUUAGUGCCUUUAAUAAUUUAUUUUUUCUUGCAUUUAACUAAUUGUUACUAAAGUUUUAAAGAAAAAGCUAAUUAGUUCCUUUUCUAAAAAAAAUUCUUAAUUAAAUUAUAUUAAAUAAAAUCUAAUUACAUAUUCUAGCUUAAAAAGUACAUAUUUAUCAAGUUAAAACCUUGAUAUUUUUUUCUAAGUUAGGAACUUUAAAUUUUAGAAAUUGAUUUCGUGAGGGACAUAAUUACAGCUGGAAUGGAGGAGUGGAAAGGGGCGACUCACUCCACUUUAUUAAUUGCCUUAGGCUCUGACAAAAUUAAAAAUAGAGCGGGCAGCGGGCAGUGGGCAGUCGUGGUUGGUGUUUCGUGAAAGCAGAGAGAUUUUUUUUUUGUUCUCUCUCUCUCUCUCUGAGGAACGGAGAGAGAAGAGAAAAGGGUCUUUCAGUACUGUUACUAUAAUCGGUGCUGAGAUGAAUGGAGAGUUUUUUUUUUUUUUUUUACAAAAAUAUCUUAGGGAUUGGGCUGAGGUAAAGGACUAUCAUGUGAGACGCAGGAGGAAAGUUGAUGAUAGAGAGUGUAGCAUCCGCAAGGAAGGAGGGGAGUACUGCAACUGCAAAUGAUACUGAGGCAGGAAUAAUAGAUUCAGAGGCAGAGGGAGGGUUACGUUGCAAAUGGUACAAAAUACAGACUGACCACUGCUGCACCGGCUCUCUCACACUUUUGAUUUGAAUUGGGGCCGGCCUCACACUGCUCAAACGUCCCUUCGCUCCUCACGGCAAUGGAAGUGGCGGCAAAGGUAAAAGCAGGAGGCACAAUUCAAGAUUAAUAGGAAACGAAAGAAAGGAGACCAAAAUAUAACUCAAUCUGUAAAUUUCACCCACUCGAUGUUGCGGCAGAGGGAGGAAAAGAGGGAGGAAAGGCUUGUAGGGGUUACGGCAGAGGUGCUGGGACAAGAAGGCGCGGCGGCGGCAGCGGCAGAGAACGCUGGAGCAGAUGGCUAUUUGCUAAUGCAGACAGAGGAAGAAGCUAGCUUUGUUUCCUUAAUCUAGCUUUAUAGUUGACCCGUUUUUGAGUUUUGACCCAUUUAAAAUCCGCGUGUUGACCCAACAAGAAUCUGGCCGUGGAAUUGGAAUUGGAAUUCUUUGGUCCAGCCAAAGAAUUGGAACCAUGAAAUUCCAUCGAUUUGGAAUUGCGAUUCGAUUCUAAUUCUAUAUGAAAGGUAGGAUCCAAACACGAGAAUUAGAAUUGGGGACCCAAUUCCAAUUCUAAACCUCAAUUCUUUGGGUAACCAAACAUACCCUAAGCGAAUUGCUAAAAGUCAAGUCAUCGUAUUUCCGACAAUUGCCGGGUCAAAUAAGCCGUUCAUUUGAUUGCUCAUAUAUUCUUAUACCUUUGAAAGUUCAUAUCCCAGCAGAUAUUAUUGCCCCCUCAAUAGUGAGAUUGCGGAUUUAUGAAUUUCCGGUAGGCCCAAGGAUAAUAAAAUAACACUUGGUUUGCCAAUUUAAUGGAAAUCAGGGACUAAAUUUGAAACAAAAAUCUACCAAUACUAAGCCCAUUGUCAUGGCUGAAUAUGACAAUGGAACAGAAUGGAAAUAUUUUCUUCAUCAUUGAAUAUAACAGUGAACAGAAUGGAAAAAAUAAGAAAGGAAUAAUCAUUUUCUGCUUGCUCCUCAGUCACCACCACAACAUUAGUACCUGCUUGGCUGGUAAGUUCCUCUGGAACCCACAUUAUGUUUUUUCUUAGUUUCCUAUUGCCCCCUCAUGGAAACCUAAACGUGCUGUGACCCCAAACAAACCAAGAUCGUCAGUCACAUUUCAAAGAUCCAAAGUAAAUACUAGAAGUAUGUGUAAAAACAGGUCUUAGCAGCAGGAAUCAAGUUUCCAUCUACAAACUCAAAAUAGGCAAAACUGAGCCAUUCAUAGCAGUCAGCUAGAGCUGUUGAGCAUCAUGCCAAAUUACAGAAGUACUGAUCGCUGCUGCAGCUGUUCCUACUGGUAGAAAAUCAUGGCAUUUCAGCCUUGAACACCUCAAGAAGCUCUGAAACUAUAAGAGAGACUUCAGCGCCUGUGAAACAUUUUGGGUGAUUCUAUCAUGUAUUGGCUCCUGCACGAACACAUUCAAGUCAUAUCGGGAUUUAAUCUAGUUACCUUGAGAUAACAAAUCAGUCAUUAUGAUUUUACCUUUGUUGUAGGUAUUUCAAAACUUGAAUUUGUUAUUGUCUCAAACAAGAAUAUAUAUCUGUCAUUAGAAGGAAAUAUCAGUAAUAUGUGUUCACAACUAAUAAACUCUGCCAAUGUCUUCACUCCAUCGAGAAAAACUAAUAAGAAAUGACUAUAUAUGCCAUUAUGAGCCAAAAAUACAAAAAGGUGAAUGAAUGAAUAACACACCGCCAAGCUAAUUCAGAAACCAGUUCUUCUGGAGCAUCAGGCAAGACCUAAGCAAGGAUAUCACCAUUUUCAGUUCUGAUGAGUAACUUCAGUGGGAAUAGCCAUUCGAAUGAUACACAGAAAACUAAUUCAAAUAGAAUAACCUCAUCUUCAUAUGGGUUGCAAUGAUCAUUGAACCAUAGCCUCAAGAACUCCUGGGAAAGGUUUAGUAUUAAAAUAUGGGAGUCAGAAUGCGACAUCAUCUCCAAGAGUACCAGUAUAAUCUUGUAUUAAAGAAAAAGCAAGUUACACACACGACAUAUAUAUAUAUAGGCACACUUGAUUUGGGACAAAUGACUUCUUCUAUUAUUGGAAUGUUGAUUUUGCUUUUCGGGUUUUUCGCCUUCCUGAGGUUUUGCUUUUAAUUCCAACCUUUUUCCCCCCUCAGGGCAUUACCUUGUCAACAUUUUCUGGUUCAAGGCCAUUCCAAAAGCGUUCUUGAUAAGAAUGACCAAUCCAAUAUCUACUCGAGUCUGGUGUAUGCACCUUCAAAAGAAAAUCAGAACACAAGAUAGUGUUAUAAUUACACAUGGAAAUGUGUGUGAGGGAGUGUAAGAGAGAAAGAGAUGCACAGGACACACACAAACACGAGCACUUUCACAAGCAGAGAGAGAGGGAGAGAUACCUCAUCAACCAAAAGCACAGUACCAUCAGGUGCUUUUCCAAAUUCAUACUUGGUGUCUACCAAUAUGAGGCCAUGUUUCAUUGCCACCCGCUGCAGUUAAUUAUGGAAAAAAAAUGGAUAAGGAAAGGAGAAUUUAGAUACCAAUGGUAGCUCCACUUCACCACCCCUUGAUCAUGCUUUCAUUUUCUCAAAUACUCCCUAGUUUGUACAAAUGAUCACAAUGCUUAGAAUUCCUAAGGUAAAUAUCACAGAGUAACUGCUUCUCCAUCAUCAUUAAAUUAGAAUGUAGAAAAACUGCUUAAUUACAGGACUUCAACAUGAUUAACCCUAAGUUGCACGCAGAAGGCUCAAGUCAACUUGUGUAACUUCUAUCAACAUCAUCAGAUGAAGAAUAAUUUUAGUACCAAUUUGAAUGACAUUCUGCUAUAGUGGACUGAUGUCCCUGGCAAAUGUUUCCAGAAAACUAAACAAACAAAAAAAGCAUGAGUAUGCACCAUGCCACAACCAAAAAAUACUACAUGAAAAAAAGGACAAAUUUCCCUUAAGAAAAGCCAAAACUUAACUACCUGACCAUAUUCAAAUAACUGUAGUGCCCUCUUACUUGCUUCCUCGUAAUCUGCUCUAGACAUUAAACCACGUUGAAUUAUCUGAGAUGCAAAAUUUUCAGCACAAAUAAGUAGUAUGAUCUAUUAUUUUGGUUACGACUAAAGAUAAGGAAAACAAACAAUGCUCAUUAAUAUGUUGCCCAAAUUGUGGGCAAAACUGGAAUUUUUUUUUUCACAAUAUCCCACAGAAAAUUAAUAGCAGGCGCAUUAUACGGAUAAAAUAGAACUUCCAUAUGUAGGGAGCUCAACAUGAGAGACCCUUUUUUAUGUAGAGCAAGGCAAUUCAUUCAAAUGCAAUUGGCCAUUAUUGUCUCUACUUUAUUACACUAGAACUCAACAGUAUACACUUGCCUAAUGAAUGACAAGUUCUAUUUAGUAAAUGAAAACCUCAUCCGGAGUUACAGGAACAUCAUGAUCUGCAGCUUUAGUAGUUGGUGUGAGAAUAUUUUCUGGUAGCUUUUGGUUUUUCACCAUUCCUGUUAUACAUUCAUUGAAGAAUCAUAAAAACCAGAAGUUACACAGAAGAUCGAAUUGACACAGUAAGUAACAUGUCGCACCAUCAGGAAGUACAUUGCCACAGUAAUUCCGAACUCCUUUUUUGUAGACAGUCCACAAUGAUGUAUCAGUGCUUCCAGUCACAUAACCCCUAACUAGAAAAAGAAAACAAUCAACAAGUGAAUUAGUUUGUGACUCACUAUGGAAAUGAGAGCCACUUCAAGUCAAAAACUACCACAUGGUAUCAUACUGCUACACAAACACGUAGUUGGAGACAGAAAAAUUUGCAGAAUAUUGCAUAUAAGGAAAAAAAAAUGUGCAGAAGUUAAAAGUAAGAUUCAUAGAAACAGUUUAAAGAGUGGCAUGCUAUUAUUGUGACUAAUAUCUCACCAACAAAUUCAACAGGAAAUACUGAACAUUUCUUUGCGAUGGUCACAUUCUUGUCUGGUGCAGAUACAACUGCAUUUGGAACAAUGUGCUGAGUUUUAUUAAACCACCACAAGCUUGUCUCAUUAAGCACCUGCCGCAAAACACUCGUUAGCCUCAACCAAUAAUACGUAUUCUUCUGCUUUAAUCAGAAUAUUUUCCGUAGGUUUAGAAUCAUGUACCAGCCCCUUGAAGGGAAUUGAAGCAAGAACUCUGUCAAAUGCACUUUGCCGACCUGUUGUUACCAGCACAAGAUAAUUUCCUUCAUCAUAAAUGUCCCUGACCUUCAAAGUGACUCAAAUGAUCAUUUGAGUAUCAGCCAUACGAAGAAACUGGAAAGCAAGAGAAUCCGCCAAUUCAACUUUUUCACCCCCCCAAAACAAUCCAGCAGAGCAUUACCCACCACCCCCACCCCCGGGCCCCCUGGGGGGCCAGCCGCUGAUUAAGUGUUCAACAGGGCUAACCUAUCUUUACUCUCACUCGCAGCAACCAACACACAAAAUAAAAUUUAAAAAAAAAUCUUCGCAGCUCUCCCAAACUAAAUGACCAACUUUUCUUACUCGCUUUUCCAACAUUCAUCAAAUAACUGAACUAAACAUAGCAGCAGACACAGAGACAAGAAGUAAGAUAUGUGAUUAGACACCUCAUAAAUGAUACAAAGUCCAUCAAAAUACAAAAAACACAAAAAAGUACAAUUAAAAAAAAAAAAGGAACCACAAGAUUACCCUAAACAAAAAAUCGAGUAAAGAAAGGAUUUUGGAAACAGUUACCUUGCCUCUGGUUUUGGAUUUAAGACCAGGAACGGUUAAAUCAAGAUGGGUUUCAGAUAAACAAUUGCUUAAUGAGCUCUGGAUAGCAUUCAAGACUUCAUUUCUGCGUUCACUGGUUUUCAAGGCCUCGAGAGAAAGUGGCGGUUGGUGCUGCUGGCUUGAUGACAUUGAUGCAGAGAUAAAAAUUGAUGGAGGAAGGCACUUCUUGGAUUUUGUUAGGAUGAAUUUACGCAAAGAAGAUGACGAGACGGAUGAAGGGUUUGGAUGGUUGAUUGGUAUGCAUUUUGGCGUGAGGGUUUUGGAAGGGUUCAGAGCUCCUCCUAUACAAUUCUGGGCCAUUUUCUUUCCCAAAGUGACAGAACUCCAAACUCUGAAAUGUCAAGCUUCUUUUCUAUGGGGGGGUUUCCGUUUUCAUACAGGUCUGCAAUAAUUGAGGCAACCCCCAGGAAUUAAUAGCAGUCUGGGGCACCGGGCGCUGCAUCAAGUCCCAGACAAGAGGGUGCAGGUAUGUCAGGAUCUUGGUUACGUGUUUUGGAUUAAACGAAGGAUUAAUCCGGAGGUACAAUUAGCAUAGUUAUUAAAAUCAACCCGGCCAUCAACCCGGCAAGAGGACCGGGUUGACGGGUCAGUGGUUCAACCACCGGAUCACUAGUCGAACUACCAGGUCAAAGUAUAUAAUAAAAAUACUGGAUAGCUAAGCAAAUUUAAAACUGGAGUAUAUAAUAAUAAUAUAAUUAAAUAAAUAUAUAAAAUUAUAAAUUACAAUUUAUAAUAAGUAUUGAAACUCAUACACAAUCUGGAGAUUCUGGAUAGCUAAGCAAUCAAAGUUUCAAAGCUUAAACUUCAAAUUCAAAGCUCAAAUCUCAAGCAUUCUCAUAUGAUAGUUCAUACUUCAAACUUUUCAAUAUACAAACCUUAUCUAAAAGAUUCAUACAUUCAAAGUUCAAACAUGGCCAUGAUUAACAAUCAAUUCAACAAAUCAAUACCGCUAAACAUAAACAACAACAAUGCAGCUUAUCACUUCAAUAGGUCAUUCUCACUUCAUAAACUUUCUCUGCUCGUUUCAUGUUACACCUCCCUAAAUAUCUCUCCUUUUUCAUCUUUCUUUCUGUCUUUUAACACUACCUUUUGUAUUUUUAUCCAAUUUCCUGACAUUAUCCAUCCUCAGACUCUAUCCCCUGCAUACAUCCAUCUAUCUAUAGUGCCAGUUCAAUUUUUAAUUUUCAGCUAAUCCUGGUUAUAUACUUAUCUUUCCACUAAAAUUCAACAAAUAAACAGAAACAGGUGGAAAAAAGGACCGCAAUGGAUCACUAAAAAUCCUGUGCAGAAUAUUAGCAGUUUUGGGUUGUUCUGAUGAUUCUCAGGCCAAAAGGGUGUGGAAUAAGGUUCAAGAGGCAAAUUCAGUUCUCUACAAGAAGCAAAAGGAGUCUGAGGCAAUGCUAUACAAGAGACAAAAAAUCUAGAAUAUGAGAGGCAAAUAGCUUCAGUUUACCAUUAAUUAAAGCAAAAAAAUCUACAUGCAAUAUCGGUUAAUUACCUUCAAGGCUUCACCGAUAGCUACUGCAAAAUCUAGAAUUUACAGAAUCUACGUAGCUCAGGGCUUGGGGGAGAAUCUGAGAAAUAAAGGUCCGUCGUCCGUGUUUGCAGCUGGCAAGCACAACGAAAAUUGGAAAAGCUUCAGCAAUCAGCAGGUCAAGGCUUCGUUUCAGCAAACAUAGCGAAAUUGUUGCCUGAUUUGCUUGUUCAUUUCUUCGUAUUUUGUUCGUCUCUAUCAGCUGCUGGAGAUUUGAGAGAGAAGGUGAGAACUGAGAAGUCAGGAGAGAAGUCUGAAGAGAUUCAAGAGAGAGAGAAAUCAGAAAGACAGAAAUCCUUAAUUCCCAAUUCCAUACUUGUAAAUUGUAAUUCUCACGCGGAAAAGACAAUAAUGCCCAAGAUGGUGUGAAGGGUAAAUUAAACAAAUUGGAUAAAAAGGUCAUUCCAUAAAUAUGACAAAAACCUGCCGGUUUAAUACAUGGUUACAUACUAGCCGAGUCUGGCGAGUAAGCGAUUCAAGUGCCAGAGUCGAUCGAUUCUGAACAAGCAAGCUGCAACUCCGAUCCAAUUAUAGAAUCAACCCGAUUUUAUAUUCGAUCUAUUGGGUUGACCGAUUCGAUCGUCAGAUUGGACUGAAUUUUAUAACUAUGACGAUUAGUGCACCUUUGGAAUGUAUGGACGCAAAGUGCAUGUACGAUUAUUGAACCUAUGGAUGUAUCCUUCUUGUAGUUAUAAAUUUUGUGCGAGUAAAUUAUAGGAAAAUUUGUCAAAUUGAUCCCUAACAUUUACACAAAAAAAAUUUUUAGUUCCUAACAUUUAAAAUCAGCAAGAAUAGUCUCUAACGUAUAAAUUAUGACCCAUUUUUGUCAUAAUGUUCGUAUUUGCUCAUUUUUUCGACUGAAAAUAACACACUUUUCUCACGUGGGCAUAUUUUCAAGGGCAAAAUCGAAAAACACACUUGAUUUCCCUCCUAAAGCAAAAGUACACCGAACCACCACCCUCUUUUCACCUUUCUCCCUCAAAUUACAGCCAUAAGAAACCCCCUAAUUCUCUGUCUUCGAGCAGGCGAUGAAUGAGCACUAAACACUAGAGGGCCACAAUCCAAUCCUGGGUUUUUCCCAACCUUUUCGAAACCGCCGACACGCAAGUAUUGGUAUAGCCUCAGGAAAAAAAGGUUAGAUGGAGAAUUUCUUGAAUGUACGUCUUCCCAGCAGGGUCGUCAUCGUGGCUAGUAGCUUUAACAAUCACUACUUCUAGCUUAGGGACCAUGUUGCUUGCUACUUUGGUGAUUCCUAUGCUGGUUUGGUCCUUCACUGUCCCGAUCGCCUUUCGAAUCGUACUAGGCGCCUUGAUUCGAAGCAUUUGACGGUUCGAAAGCUGAGAAUCUCAACUCAAGACGCAAAAACUAAAAAGAAAAACUUAUUACUAUCAAACGGGUGGAAGAAAGGAAAGAAAUGGAAUGAUGAUUUCUGGGAGAACCCAGAGCUGAUCUAGCUGAAAUGGAAAUGGGGUUUUUGAGUUUGGAGUAACAGGUUUGUUGCUGCAAUUUCUCCCUCUUUUGUUCUAGAUUUGCUACAAGAUUUGAGUUUCGGUAGGUAUGUGUAUGUGUGGUGAUGGAGAGGGGGAUUUGGGGAGGGAUAUGGAUGGGUUUUAGAAGGGAGAUUCUGAAACGGGAGACUCCUCAGAUUAUACCUAUUAGUUAAGGGAUGUCGAGAAUUAGAGGGUUUCUUGUGGCCAUAAUUUGAGGGGGAAGGUGAAAAGAGGGGUGGUGGUCUAGUGUACUUUUAUUUUAGAAUAGAAAUCAAGUGUGUUUUUCAGUUUUGCCCUUGAAAAUAUGGCCACGUGAGAGAUGCGUGCUAUUUUUAGUAGGAGAAAUUAGCAAAUACAAACAUUAGGACGAAAAUGGAUUAUAAUUUAUAUGUUAGGGACUAUUCUGGUUUAUUUUAAAUGUUAUGGACUAAAAAAGUUUUUUAUGUAAAUGUUAAGGACCAAUUUGGCAAAUUUUCCUAAAUUAUAGAAAGAAAGUGAUUAUAGAAAAUAAUGUGUAACUAUUUUUUUGGGUAAAUUCUAGAUUUUAAAUUUUUUUAUUAUUAAGAGAUCUACAAGAGAGAUAUAAAAAGUUAAAAAAAAAUAACAACUGAACCAAAAAUAGAUCAACAUAAAAAAUGUUAAAUAAUUUUGAUUAUUCAGAAUCAAAAUUUAUAAUGAGAUACAUUAACCAAACGAGAAUAGAGCAUGCACCUAUGAGUAUUAAUAUAUGUACAUUUUUGUUGAUCCAUUGCGGAAUUGGUAUGCUCUGGUUAUUGAAAAAAUCAAAUUGAUUGCUUGUCAUAAUCAAUUUUUUGUAAAAUCUACAGCAGAUGAGAACGAGAACGAAGCUCUAAAAUGAACAAAGUAAACUAAUGGUAAUUUAAAUUACAAAACCUCCUGAACAAAUAAAGUAAUGGUUGAAUUAUAAAUAAGACAACGAAACUAUUAAUUUUUAAAAAAUCACAAGCGAUGAGAAGUGAUUAAGGUUAGGGGUGAGCAUUGAAUUCGACAUUGAUAAUUCGAAAGUUUGAAUUCAAAAUUUUUUGAAAUUUUGGUAUCAGAGAAUCUGACCGAAUUUAAUUUCGAAUUCACCAAUUCUGAAUUCGAAUUCAUACCAAAUUCAAUUCGAAAUUCGGUAAAUUCCGAUUUCACCGAAUUCGGAAAAAUUUAUAUAUUAUUAUAUAAUAUAAAUUUUAUUAUAUAAUAUAAAAUUUAUAAUAUUAUAUUAUAUUAUAUUUUUUAAAUUUUAUAUUACAUAUAUAAUAUAUAUAUUAAAAACGAAUUUAAAAUCGAAAUCGGUAUUUGAAUUCUAAUUUAGAAUGGUGAAUUCAAAAUUGAAAAUUCCGAUUUGGAAAACUCCAUUACCAAAUUUGAACCAAAUUCAAAAUAUAUGAAUUCGGAAUACCCGAAUUCAAUUCCGAUUUUUGAUUUACCAAUUUCAAAAAUUUCGAAUUCAAUUCGAAUUGAGUCAAUAAAUCAGAAUUUUUCGAUUUUGCACACCCCUAAUUAAGGCUCAUUUGCUCAUUUUUACUUUUAGUUUUUUUCUUUUUUUUUUUUGCUUUGAAUUUGAAAUGUUGGUUAUGAAAAGUUAAAGUAAUUAUGGAAAAUGAUCAAAAUUAAUUUAAGUUAUUGUUUGGUAGAAUCUGAAUUUUUUUUUGUUAUUAAAAAUCUAAAAUCUAUAUGCAAAAGCAAAUGAAAACACUAAUUGUUCAAAACCAUAGUAUAUCUAACUAGGCGAAACAAUCAAGCGAAAAAGGGUGAAGGUAUCUAUGGUUGGGAUUGGAAUUUGUGAGACAUAAGCCUCCAAGAUUAAAGCAGGAGGAAAAAAUGAGUUAAAUUAAAGGGAGAAUUAGUGCACAAAAUGGACAAGAAAACCAAUAACAUAUCAAACUUCCUAGCAAAAUAGGUUCAUUAGCUACCUUGUCGUCCCAAAAUACUAAAUUACUACUGAAAAAGCAGAAUAAAAUAUGUAAUAUGUUUAUAUGUAAUAUGUUUAUUUGCUUGUUCUUACUUUUCAAUCUUUAAGGUGAGAAUGAAACUAAUCACUAACAUUGCCUACGUAUAGAGGUGGCAAUUUGUCCCAAGUCCCAAUGGGUUACCCAUGCCCAUUAAGACUUUGUGCGGGAUGGGUAUUGGAAUUUGAUAUUGUGUUUAAAAUGGGACAAAUCCCAAUUGUACCCAUUAAUUGAUGGGAAAUUUUGGAAAAUGCUUGGGUACCCAUUGGGCUCAAAUAGUAAGGGCUCCGUUUGAAUUAACUAUUUUUGAGGGGUGUUUUUGAAAUAUUUUAUUGUAUUAGUGUAUAUGAAAAAUUUUUACUAUAAAUUUUUUUUAAAAUAUUUGAUAUACUAAUAUGGAUGAGAUGUUUUUUGAGUUAUUGUAUAUUACUGUAACAUUGUAUUUGAAAAACUUAUUUUUUGAAAAAAUAGUCAAUCCAAACGGAGUCUUAGAUUCAAAAAUUAUCUUUAACAAUUUUUAUAGUCAUGAUUGUAUAUCUAUCUUUUCCUUUAUUUAUUAAUCCAAUUUUUGGUGAUAAUCCUGAGUAUAAAGCACUUGCAUGUUUAUUUAAUAAAACUAAAAGAAAUUUAAUAAAUCAAAAAUAUUAAAAUUAUAUAAAAAAAUAAAAAAUAAAUUAAAGGAAAAAAAUAUAUAGAAAAUAAAUUUAGGUAUUGGGCGGGAUCAAUCUAAACCCAUCCCAAAGUGAUCCCGCCCAAGUUAGUCCCAAAAACAAAAACAAAGAAAUUCAACUCGAAGUACUCCAAAUAAGAAGUUAGCAAUACAUCAUAGCACUUGAUCACCCAAAACAAAGUAAAACUUUAUGUGAAUGUAUGUGUGUCUGUGUGUAAAGCUGUGAAGUUUGAAAAUUAACACUAAAUAGAGGCAUCAUAAUACACUCACAGCAUGAAAGGCCUUCUUAAUCUCCUCUGUGGUAACAUUUCUAGAGACCCCAUAGGAAUCUCUUUCCGUGGCAUUGGAAGGUCCUGCGAAUUAAUUUGCAUGCAGUAGAAUCAGAAACAUAACACAAUUUGGCACAAAAAUCUCCACAGAAUCAAGGCAACUUUUCACUUUAAAUAAAAGAGAAAACCUGUGGCAUGAAUGAAGCGCUUGAACAAUAAUAGCCCCCAUUAGGAACAAAAUCAGCAGGGAACAAUAAAAUCCUGCAACUGCACAAAUCUGAGGAAACAUAACUUCAGCGUUAAGACAGCUUACAUUUUUACAAUACAACUAUAGAUUUAUGUAUACAAUUUAUCUGCACAUCUGCUACUUAUGGAUUCCAUACUUAAGACAACUCAAAUAAGAAGUAGAAAUGCAAACCAUGUGGGGAAUGCUUCACAGACACAUUACCCAACAGUCACUGCAACAAAUACAUACACAUUCACAUAUUACAGUCAAACAAGAGGAUACGAACACACACAUAUAAGUACACCAAAACACAAGGUGAACAGAGAUGCCAGCCUUGCCCUAUACUAAACCAAAUCAAGGCAAAUUAACAAAUGGCAACAUACAGGCAAAGCCACACCAUUCGCUUUAUUGAGGGUUUUAUCACAAGAACUCAAAUUCAAGUUCAGUUGAAAACAGCAACAGCAUAACGUCCAAAAGCAGUGAACCAUAUUUUAGACUGCUGUCGACAUCUUGGUAGCUUUGAGAUAGCUAACCGACUACAUUGUGCCUGUUUCAUGCGUAGCUGCCAACUAAAGAACGUGCUACCCAUGCCAGAUAAAUGUCUGAAUUGCUCUCUUUUUGGCAAAAGCACAUAUUCUGAACUCUUUUCUCAUUUUCAUUUCGGAGAUUUGUUGAUAGAAUUGUUUAAAUCUUCUCCUCUGAUGCCAGAAAUGUUGCAGCAAAGUUUCCCCUUCGUUCAUGUUUUUCACUCUUUGUCGUAAGGAUUUCUGGAAGAAUUUUGGCUUCCAUUUAUGUCCCAUCCGUUAAUCCUGGUAUAACUUAUCUCCAAAUUCUGGUUUUUCUGAUUCGGGAUCGAAUCUUCUGCUCCGCAAUAUCUUUUUGCAUCAGUAAUCUGAAUUUGUUUGUGAACGAGUUCAUGGUAAUGCUACAAGCUUGCUUGUUCCAUUAGCAAUUUCUUUUUGCCUUCUUAUUAGCGAUUUCUCUUUUUCUUCUCUUCUUUUUCCGCCAGCUAGUUGGGUUUUGGGGACAGGGGUUGAGGUUGGUGUGUGUAUCAAACUACCAGCUUCACAACACCAAGUCAAGUAUUCUGUCUCCCCUGCGAGAAUUGAUUUUGUUCAUGGGUGACGAAUUUUGCUUAAACAUCAACGGCGGGAAGGGGGACAUAUUCUUUCUCCCCCUUCCCGGAUAAACAAAGAAAGCUUAAAAUUUUUUUCAUGCUGCCACAUAAUAUCCAAAGCUGAUGGAAGCCAAUAAUUCUGAAUAACAUCUCAUAACACACAUGGUUUAGUUGCAUAAUUUACUUAUCUGCUAGCACACAACUGCCUGUUUCUCAUCAGAGUAUUUUAUUCUGCUAUAGCUGGUGCAUCGUUGAUCUUAGUAGUAGACUUAGACAAAUCAUAUGCAGGAACCCGUGAAUCGAAUUGACAGUGUUACACUUCAAUUUGAUACAACUGCUAUCAGCUUCUCACGCAUACCUAUCAUGUGCUUGAACACUUUGUCGUGAGGUGGCAUUAAUUCUUUCAUGACUGGAUCUUCAAGGACGUAAUCAAUCCAUGCAGCGAGCACAGGCAUACUUUGCUGAUCAAUGAGUUGUAUCUUUAAAGCUUCCUGCUCGAUUCUAGCCAAGUAUGCAAUCCAGCCAAUAGCAACAUCUGCAAAACCUAUCUUCGUGCCUCCAAAACAGCGUUUCCCAUCCAGUCCACUUUCUAGGGUCUUCAGAUGUUCACGAGCUUCUCUUACACCCUUUUCCAGCUCCUCCCCGACUUUGGAGAUUGUUCCUACCAGUGCAGGCACACACUGGAAAGAAAAGAUUCAAAAAAAAAAAAAAAAGGAGCUCUGUAAAUGAAAUCAACUUCAGCAAUGUGUGAACUUGGAAUCUUUACAGGGAACAUUAAAUAUUCUUUCUAUAUUGACUCGCAAGUUGCGAUAUAAAAAACUGAUAUAUGAUACAACCUGUAUUAUUAAGCUGGUUGCUUCUAGUGGAUUAGUCUCAUGAUGGAUAUAAGAUUACAAACGUUGACACAUAAUUACAGGAUAAAUACGACAUCAAUGCCACCCAAUUGGUGACCAGCUGCUUUAAUCUGUAUAUGGCUGAAAGCAUUCACUUAACUUCCACUAACAGGGAGAGAAAAAUUCACACCAAAUUAACCUUCAAGCCCAAAACUCAUCACUAAAUUAAUCAAUUUGAUUGCUCAAAUACUCAAAGAGAGAUACUUUCGGGACAGAUCUCAUUGCCUCUCGGACUAAGACUUUAAGUUAGAUACUCACAAAUCUCACUUGGGAGACAAAACUUCAUAAAGCUGGUAUUAAAUUGCUUUGUGAUCACAGUAUGCUUAAAAUUUGCCUGAAAUAUACAUCACAGCAAGGGAAAAAUCUCUGGACUACUCAGUCAUCCUUGCGCUCCAACUAAAAUAUUAGUAUUCAUAUUUUCUACUGUAAACAGUACGAAUUGUUGUGAUCUGCAGAAUUAUGCCUUCUUACCUUCUCAUCAACAAAUUUGGCCCAAAAGCGCGAUCUAGCUCUUUCAUAAGGAUCUUCAGGGAGGAGUGGAUUAUGCUUCCAAACUUCAUCGAUAUACUCCAGUAUUACGAGGGAUUCUGAUAUUGAUUUCCCGUUGUGCAGCAGAACUGGAAUCUUCUUAUAAACAGGAUUGCUCUGCAAGAGCAGGGGGCUCUUGUUUCCAAGAUCUUCUUCUUGGUACUCAUAUUCAAUGCCUUUGAGUUUCAACGCCGACCUAACCCUGAGUGCAAAAGGGCUUCCCCAGUAUCCCAGCAAUUUGACACCCUCUCCUGCCAUUCUCGAACCUAAAGCUUAGUGGCAAGCAAAGCUUCUCAGUCUAUCUCAGUAGUGUUACGCUGCAAUUUUUUUACUUGGUUCACCCACCUAAUAACAAUAUCCCUGCAAUUUUAAAGGCUUGACAAGAAGACUCAAAAUGAUCCUCCCUGUUUUAGUGCUGACCAAAUAGGAGAAUAUAAGCCAAAAACUUCUUGUGAUGUAACCAAAAGAUGUGGACGGGAUGACUUCCAAUAAGCGAAUAGGUAAAAGUCAAGUCAUCAUAUUUCCGACAAUUGCCGGGUCAAAUAAGCCAUUCAUUUUUUUUUUCUGCCAAAUGGUAGAAACACACACACACACGCACCCAUGUACACUCAAUGACGCAGGAAGCAUCGAGAAACCGGCUCAACAAGAGCGAUCUAAGGGACUCACAGAGAAAUCCUAUCUAGCUAAUUGGUGAUAGAAAGGACUUUUCAUGAAUCUUAAAUUCGGAGUAAAGAUCUCACGAUCUUUCGAUGCGGGAUGGUGCAAACCCAAUCCCUCCACGCACACCCUUGCAGAAGAAUCUGAUUUUUUUCUGCCAAAUGGUAGAAACACACACACACACCCAUAUACACACAAUGACGUAGGAAGCAUCGAGAAACUAGCCCAACAAAAGCAAUAGGGAUAAUUGCAUAAAUCUCCCCUGAGGUUUCUGACAUUUGCACUAAUCUCCCUUGUGAUUUGAAAAAUUACACCGACCUCCCUUGAGGUUACUAAUCCUUUGCAAAUUUAGUCCAAACAAUUAAAAUAUUAUUUUAAGAAGUGAAAUUAGAAUUUUAUACCAGAUUUGCCCUUUGUGCUACAUAUCCAAUGAAUAACAAAGUAUUAUAAAUCAAUUAACAAUUAAUAAAUUUUAAGAAGUAUAAUUUAUGGACAAACACGCAUUACUCAUUUAAAGUACCAACUCUUUACGAGUAUUUUACUUUCAAAUAUUUAAUUUAUGAUAAAUGUAUCAAUAUUUGUAAGUAAAAUUCAAAAAUUGUUAUAGUAAUAUUCUUGCAAAAAGAAAAUCGAUAGGUUAUUUAUUUAAUAUAAAUUAAAUAUUUUUAAAAAAUAAAAUAAAAUGGCCUAUAAAGUAUUAAUUUUUUAUGGCUUUCAUCCAUUACACGAGUAAAGUAUUCGUUCUUUAUGUGCAUUUUAUUCUGAAUCAUUUAAUUUAUGUUAAAUACAUAAAUAUUUGUAACUAAAAUUGAAAAAGUGUUAUAUUAAUAUUUUUACUGAAGAGAGAUUGGUAGGUUUUGUAUUUUAAAAAAAUUAAAUAUUUGAAAGUAAAUACAAAUCUGUAUUUGAGAAUAAAUAUUUGUAUUAAAUUAAAUGUUUGAAAAUAAAAUACCCUUAAAGAACCGGUACUUUAAAUAGUUACCGACUCUUUAUAGGUAAACACGCAUUACUCAUUUAAAGUACCGGUUUUUUAGGAAUAUUUUACUUUCAAACAUUUAAUUUAUGAUAAUUAUAUAAAUGUUUGUUAGUAAAAUUCAAAAAGUGUUACAGUAAUAUUCUUGCAAAAAGGAAAUCGGUAGGUUAUUUAUUUAAUAUAAAUUAAAUUUUUUUUUAAAAAUGACCCAUAAAGUAUUAAUUUUUUAUGAUUUUCAUCCAUUACAUGAGUAAAGUAUUGGCUCUUUAUGGGUAUUUUAUUUUGAAUCAUUUAAUUUAUGUUAAAUACAUAAAUGUUUGUAACUAAAAUUGAAAAAGUAUUAUAUUAAUAUUUUUACGAAAGAGAAAUUGGUAGUUUUUGUAUUUAACAAAAAUUAAAUAUUUGAAAGUAAAUACAAAUAUGUAUUUGAGCGUAAAUAUUUGUAUUAAAUUAAAUGUUUGAAAAUAAAAUACCCAUAAAGAGCCGAUACUCUAAAUAGGUAAUGCAUAUUUGUGUAUAAAAUAUACACCUUAAAGUUUAUUAAUUGUUAAUUGAUUUGUAGUAUUUUGUCAUUCAUUGGACACGUAGUACAAAGGACAAAUUUGGUAAAAAAUUCUAAUUUCACUCCCUAAAAUAAUAUUUUAAUCGUUUGGGCUGAAUUUACAAAGGAUUAGUAACCUCAGGGGAGGUCAGUGUAAUUUUUCAAACCACAGGGGAGGUCAGUGCAAAUGUCAGAAACCUCAAGGGAGGUUUCUCCAAUUAUCCCAAAGCAAUAUAAGGGAGACAUUCAUUUGAUUGCUCAGAUUUUCUUAAUUUCGCACAAGAUGUCGCUAUGUGACCGUACUUUUGAAAGUUCAUGUCCCAGCAGAUAUUAUUGUGCCCCUCAAUACUGAGACUGAUUGCUGAUUUAUGAAUUUCAGGUAGGCCCCCCGGAAAAUAACUAGGGACUAAUUUAAUUUAAUGGAAAUUAGGGACUAUAUUUGGGGGAAAAAAAUCUACCAGUAGUUUAGCCAAAAGACUAGGCUUUCUGAUGAGAUUGGAACUAUGGGGUGGCAUGCUCGUGGUGACUGGUCUCGAGCAACGGUUCAUGGCGCCAUCCAUGUUAACCCCAACAGGGGCGAUACAUAUCCAUUUCCUAAGCCUCAUGCAGAAGUGCCCAUCAUCUAAUGUCUGCUUCUUGUUUUGUUUUUGGUUAUAAAACUCGAAUGCUACAAUAUUUUUGCACGUACGUUGGCUUGAAUAAAUCAGAAAACAAUUUAUAGGUAAUUUCACGUUUAAGUUUGAUGAUGUUUUAAUGCAGGAGAAUGGCGGAAGAGAAGAGUGAUGUAAUGGAAUCCUGAGGCCCAAACAAUUCCGAUGCUUUCUUGGUGAUCUUUAUCCAUGCUCAAAACCAGGUAUCUGGCCAGGAAUUUUUGGAAUUUCUCUUAUUUUGUGUAUUAGUGAGGACGAGGUUAACCGCUUAAAGUGCUUAGGAAUAUCCAAUUCUUGGCCGAAGCACGUCUCUUUCAUCCAAACUUCUACUUUCUUCAUCAUUGACUGUAACAGAGAACAGAAUGGAAAAAAUAAGAAAGGAAUCAUUUUCUGCUUGCUUCUCAGUCACCACCACAACAUUAGUACCUGCUCGGCUAGAAAGUUCCUCUGGAACCCACAUUUUGUUUUUUCUUACUUUCCUAUUGCCCCCUCAAAGAAACCUAAAAGUUCUGUGACCCCAAACGAACCAAGAUCUUAGCACUAGGAAUCAAGCUUCCAUCUACAAACUCAUAAUAGGCAAAACUGAGCCAUUCAUAGCAGUCAG
rnacentral:lncRNA from 1 species